UUCUAAACCAUUAAUUCUUGAGUCCAACACAUAGACUCUCACACAAUAUCUUAUAUAUAUAUUUUUUAUGCAAAAAUAUAUAUAUAGAGUUCGGCUACUAUACUUUAUGGGUACGAUUGCUCUUAUACUCAUAAAUCGUUUUUGAUGAUAGAGUUUUCGAAUCAACAAUCUAUACCGUUAAACAUUAUUUAGAACAUUUAAAGUUUUCAGAAAUCAAAUUUCAUAAUUUUUCGACAUCAUUUACAUUACGAUCGAAAGGUCACAAAAUUGAAAAUUUUUAAUAACCAGUAUAAGAUAUUUGCUAGUUUAACGGUAUAAAAGAAUUGGAAUAGAUUGAAUUUUUGAUUGAAAAUUCUAUUCAUUAUCUAGAUAAAGAUCAAUAACUCUGAUUGUAAAUUGAAGAAUCCGAUCAUUCAUUCUUAGGAUGUCAAUCUAUUUUGACCGUUUGUUUUCUGUCCGAUUGAUAGGCUUUAUUAUGAUUUCGAAAAAUUACAAAAUUUAUUUUUUAGAAAUUUCAAAUACUCCAAAUUAUGUUUAACGAAGUGGAUUGUCAAUUCGGAAGCUCCAUCAUCGAAAAUAAUAUAUGAGUAUGAAGGGCUCUAUAUUCAUAAGAAUAUAGUAGCCCUACUCUCUCUUUCUCUCUCUCUCUCUCUCUCUCUCUCUCUAUAUAUAUAUAUAGUUGAGCUAGAAUACUCUCAAAAGGAGGUUGGUACUUUUGAGUUUUUAAUUAUUGGAUGGAGAAAUGUAAGAUUGAAAAGAUGGUGGUAGGUUGUGGUAUGUGGAAUAGUGUUUGAUUCAAGAACUAUUAGUAAUCAAGGAGUAGAUCCAAGGGCUAAAAACCUAGAAGCACCAAGAGGGUGAUACUUCUAAAAGUAUUCUAACUCAAUUAUAUAUGUAUGUAAACCUUGAAAAGUUAUUACAUGUGACCUUCAAAAUUAGGGUAAAUUACACUUUGGGUAUUUAAACUUUAAUAUAUUAUAAUUUUUAGCUUAAACUUUUUGAAUUAUUGCAAUUAUAUCUCAUUAUUUAAGUUAAUUGGUUAUAUUGAGAAAUUAUUAAUGUAUAAAUAUUAUGAUUAGUAAUAUUGUAAUAAUAAUUAAGAUGCUGCAUCACUUCUGCACCGACGAUUUGUUCAAUAUUUAAUCAACUAAAUUAGAUUAUGAGAUUUAUUUACAAUAUUUCAGAAUGUCUGGAUUAGAAAUUGUACAAACUAAAAAUUGAGGAAAUACAAAGCGUUACGCACCUCAGAGGGCGAAAUUAUGUGAAAUAAAUUGUAAAUAACAAUUAACCAAAAUAUUUUUGACGAUGUUCAUGUCAAAUUCGAUUAUGGUAUUCGACAGCGAAUAACUUUCUUACUUUUUCUUUCUUACAACAAACUAAAUAAACAGACUAAACUAGUACUUCGCACCUGCGUUUACGGUGAAACAAACAAAUUAAAAUAUGUUGUGUGGAAACAAAAAUAAAUCUUCACUAGAAUCAAAUUUGAAUGAUCCGGCCAUGGCCGGCUGCGUAAACUGCGGAGUUGCUUGAUCCAAAAAAUUGUAAUUUUCUAUCCUAACCCUAACCCUAACCCUAAAAAUCGCUAAUCGCGUAAUGUGGGGAGUGGGGACCACCCACCACCAUUACUCGCCAUUUUCUCUUGCUACUUCCACUAACACAUAAAUCAAAACUAACAGGACCUACCCAGGAUACCACCAACAAGGAAAGAUACUUAUGAAAUAAAAAACAAAAUAAAAUAAAAUAAAAUAAAAAUGUUAUGAAAGUGUCACUCAAAAUGCCUAAUUUGGAAUGGACCCUCUAAAACUUUAUUAAUUUUGUUUUAAGUUGAAUUUUAAAAAUUAAUUAAAACUUGACAAAACUGAUAAAUUUUAUCUGCAAGGGGCACCUUGAUUGGAUAUAAUUAAAAAAAAAUAGUAUAGUUGGAGAUGCAGCAGUUGGUUGGAUAUAAAAAAAGAUGAUGUGUUAGAACUAAAACCGAGAAGAUCUAGUUCGUCGGAUGCGAAAAUACCAAAAGAGAUCUGAGAAAGAGAGAAGAAAAAUAAAGCACACAAUAUUUACGUGGUUCGGCCAACGGCCUACAUCCACGGACGAAGACGGAGCGAAAAUCUUCAUUAGAAUCAAAGUGGUGUACAAAAUAUGCCUCUCUCACAAAACCCUAAUCCCAAAAAAUACACUCAUAUUCCCUCUCUUAUCUUCCGCACUAAAUCAAUAGCAAAAAGGGUAUAUUUAUAAUAGUGACUAAAUCCUAAUACGAUUAGAAAUACAAACCCACUAAGAUUAGGAAUAUCUCGAUAAAUUAGGCAUAAUCUAAACUUAACUUAAUGGGAUAAUUAAAACAGAAUAGGGUUAGAAGACCUUGCGGUACUAGAAUUCGAGACAUAUUUAACAAUCUCCACCUUGACUUGAAUUCUAUGUCUUCUCCAUCAAAAUCCCAAGAGCUCCUGAAGUGCUACUGCACAUGCGAACAAGUUUACGGAAUACUUGACCUUGAUCGCCUAAAAACUUAAUGAGCAAAUCCGCGGGAUUCUCUGAAGUGCCAAUCUUCUCAUCUCCAACUACGCCUUUUGCAACCUCUGUUGCAUCAGAACGACAACUUGUCGUAGAGCGAAACUGCUGGAGCGAUCAAACUUCUCGAUCUCAAAUUCGUCGACGUCUUAAACACCCAAACAAACACUCAGGCUCUAACACCAGUUUGUUAGGACAAAACUGAAAAGAUCUAGUUCGUCGGGUGCGAAAAUACCAAAAGAGAUCUGAGAAAAAGAGAAUAAAAAUAAAGCACACGAUAUUUACGUGCAUGGUUUGGCCGCCGACCUACGUCCAGGGGGGAAGACGGAGCGGAGAUCUUCAUUAUAAUCAAAGUGGUGUACAAAAUAUGCCUCUCUCACAAAACCCUAAUCCCAAAAAAUUCACCCAUAUUCCCUCUCUCAUCUUCCGCACUAAAUCAAUAGCAGAAAUAGUAUAUUUAUAAUAGUGGCUAAAUCUUAAUACGAUUAGGAAUACAAACCCACUAAGAUUAGGAAUAUCUCGAUAAAUUAGGCAUAAUCUAAACUUAACUUAAUGGGAUAAUUAAAACAGAAUAGGGUUAGAAGACAUUGCGGUACUAGAAUUCGAGACAUAUUUAACAAUCUCCACCUUGACUUGAAUUCUAUGUCUUCUCCAUCAAAAUCCCAAGAGCUCCUGAAGUGCUACUGCACAUGCGAACAAGUUUACGGAAUACUUGACCUUGAUCGCCUAAAAACUUAAUGAGCAAAUCCGCGGGAUUCUCUAAAGUGCCAAUCUUCUCAUCUCCAACUACGCCUUUUGCAACCUCUGUUGCAUCAGAACGACAACUUGUCGUAGAGCGAAACUGCUGGAGCGAUCAAACUUCUCGAUCUCAAAUUCGUCGACGUCUUAAACACCCAAACGAACACUCCGGCUCUGAUACCAGUUUGUUAGAACUAAAACCGAGAAGAUCUAGUUCGUCGGAUGCGAAAAUACCAAAAGAGAUCCGAGAAAGAGAGAAGAAAAAUAAAGCACACAAUAUUUACGUGGUUCGGCCAACGGCCUACGUCCACGGGCGAAGACGGAGCGGAGAUCUUCAUUAUAAUCAAAGUGGUGUACAAAAUAUGCCUCUCUCACAAAACCCUAAUCCCAAAAAAUACACCCAUAUUCCCUCUCUCAUCUUCCGCACUAAAUCAAUAGCAGAAAUGGUAUAUUUAUAAUAGUGGCUAAAUCUUAAUACGAUUAGGAAUACAAACCCACUAAGAUUAGGAAUAUCUCGAUAAAUUAGGCAUAAUCUAAACUUAACUUAAUGGGAUAAUUAAAACAGAAUAGGGUUAGAAGACCUUGCGGUACUAGAAUUCGAGACAUAUUUAACAAUCUCCACCUUGACUUGAAUUCUAUGUCUUCUCCAUCAAAAUCCCAAGAGCUCCUGAAGUGCUACUGCACAUGCGAACAAGUUUACGGAAUACUUGACCUUGAUCGCCUAAAAACUUAAUGAGCAAAUCCGCGGGAUUCUCUGAAGUGCCAAUCUUCUCAUCUCCAACUACGCCUUUUGCAACCUCUGUUGCAUCAGAACGACAACUUGUCGUAGAGCGAAACUGCUGGAGCGAUCAAACUUCUCGAUCUCAAAUUCGUCGACGUCUUAAACACCCAAACGAACAUUCCAGCACUGAUACCAUUUUGUUAGAACUAAAACCGAGAAGAUUUAAUUUGUCGGAUGCGAAAAUACCAAAAGAAAUCCGAAAAAGAGAGAAGAAAAAUAAAGCACACAAUAUUUACGUGGUUCGGCCAACGGCCUACGUCCACGGGCGAAGACGGAGCGGAAAUCUUGAUUAGAAUCAAAGUGGUGUACAAAAUAUGCCUCUCUCACAAAACCCUAAUCCCAAAAAAUACACACAUAUUUCCUCUCUCAUCUUCCGCACUAAAUCAAUAGCAGAAAUGGUAUAUUUAUAAUAGUGGCUAAAUCUUAAUACGAUUAGGAAUACAAACCCACUAAGAUUAGGAAUAUCUCGAUAAAUUAGGCAUAAUUUAAACUUAACUUAAUGGGAUAAUUGAAACAGAAUAGGGUUAGAAGAUCUUGCUGUACUAGAAUUCGAGACAUAUUUAACAUGAUGCAACUAUAAAUAAUUUGUUUGAUUGCAUAUAAUUGAAAAGUACAUUCACACAUUUUAUUACUAUAUACAUAUUUUAUAUUAUAAAAUAUGAUUAAGGAGAUAAAAGCUUAUCUUUAAUUUAUAAUAACUACUUUCUCCAACUGCUGCAACUGUUACAACAAUUAUAUUUAAAACAUCAAGUCAAUCGCUAAAUUUAAAUCUGUAUGCAAUUACAAAUACAAUAUAGUUGCAGCUACAAGCUAUCUAACUGCCCAUAAACGUAAACGAUGGAAGAAAUGUGCAACAUUUCAUCUUCUGAAAAAGUAUCUAGAAUAGUUAAACCGAAUAAUAUUAUUAUUAAAUUUAACAAAACUCUUAAUAUGAAUUUAUAACUUUUAAAGAAUCUAUUUCAAAAUAUAUAAUCCACAAUUGAGGAGUGUUUUUUUUUUUCCUUCCUUUUCUUGAUUUGUUUUUACAUAUUUAGCUUAGAAAACAAAAAAGGGAAAAAAAAAAAAAAAAAAAGGAGAAAAAAGAGGAUAGAUAUAUCAGAGGAGAUUUCGUGUUAGGAUAUCAGUGGGCAAGUUGCGCAAAGAACAAUUCUCUGUUUUUAAAGCUUUGUUGCCCCGUCCAAAUCCCCAACCGCGUUUCUUCUCCUUUGACUCACUUAUUACAACGCGCCGGCUCCAACCGCAUAUGUGACCGUUAUACCCCUCUCCCUCUCUCUCUCUCUCUCUCUCUCUCUCUCUCUAUGGUCUACACUCCCUCCUCUUCAUCACCAUUCACCACCCCCAAUAAGAGAGAGAGAGAGGGGGAAAAAAAGGAAAAAAAAAAAAUUGGAGAUUGGUUUAGAUUAACUUGUUGUAUAUAGCUAGUUCCUGGAUCGGUUCUUCGUAUGAUUCUUACAUUUGGUGCACACAGCUGAAAGUAGUGCCCUGUUGUUUUCAGUGAAACCUACAUACAUGCAUGCAUCAUCUUCGGUGACACCACGCCGAAUGGUGAAGAAGAGGAGGAUUGGGAGAGAGAGAGGAAUUCGAGUGAUCGAUCAAGCAAACAUUAGGAUAAUAGAAUAGCAAAGCAGAUCAUAUCAUAUCAUAUCAUAUCAUAUAUAUAUAUAGCAUGGGGAACACUUGCGUCGGUCCGAGCAUCGCGAAGAGCGGCUUCUUCCAGUCGGUUUCUGCCACUCUGUGGCGCGCCCGGUCGCAGACCGACGCUCUGCCCCCCGCCGCCGCCGCCGAUGUUGCCGAUCCCCCUAUCGCAGUCGCAGAAAACAAGGCUCCGGAGCCCGUCGUUAUCCAUAAAGAAGACGACGACGGCAAAGACGUAACAAAGCAGGCGAAGGCGGACGUAAAGCGACUGGGCAGCGCGGGGUUGCUGGCGGGAUCGGUGCUGAAGCGGAGGACGGAGAAUGUGAAGGACGUGUACAGCUUAGGCCGGAAGCUGGGGCAGGGGCAGUUCGGGACGACGUAUCUGUGCAUGCAGAAGGAGAAGGGGAGGGAGUACGCGUGCAAGUCGAUACUGAAGAGGAAGCUGGCGACGGAGGAGGACGUGGAGGACGUGCGGAGGGAGAUCCAGAUAAUGCACCACCUGUCGGGGCACGCGAACGUGGUGGCGAUCGAGGGGGCGUACGAGGACGCGGUGGCGGUGCACCUCGUGAUGGAGCUGUGCGCCGGCGGGGAGCUGUUCGACAGGAUCGUGCACAAGGGCCACUACACCGAGCGCAAGGCCGCCCAGCUCGCCAGGGUCAUCGUCGGCGUCGUCGAGGCCUGCCACUCCCUCGGCGUCAUGCACCGCGACCUCAAGCCCGAGAACUUCCUCUUCGCCGACCACUCCGAGGAGGCCCCCCUCAAGACCAUCGACUUCGGCCUCUCCGUCUUCUUCCGCCCCGGUCCGUCUGUCCAUCUUUUCCCUCCGCAUUCAUCUGCGGCUAGCUAGUUUGUUGAUACUCUGUUUCCGUUUCCAUGCCUUGCUAAGAUUUGACUUUAUUUUCUCGGGUUGACUUUUUUUGAUCGGUUCAUGCGAACAUAAUUUGUAGAUUCAGUAUUAAUUGCGCUUACUUGACUUAAUUUGGUUGUUUUGCUAAACAAAUCUGAAUGAAUUAGCUUAAGGGACUAUUUUUUGAGCUUGAUUCAUGAGCUGAAUUUCUUCUUUUUUAAAAAAAAUUUCUUCGGAAUUUAUUCGCAUUCUGUCGAAUAUAUCGGCACUUGCAGAGUUUUUCAUUUUUACAGCAUAUAAUUGAGACAUAUUGUUCUUAAAAUUGCUGUUUUUCUUUUCUUGUAUGUGUGUUUUUUUGGUUGCCUAUGUCGUAUUUCCCACGUUUCUUAUUAAUUUUCACCUGAAUCUAAUCUUUUGUAAAGCAAAUGAUUGAAAAUUUGAGCUAAUCUUAUUAUCGCAGGAGAAGUAUUCACUGAUGUGGUUGGGAGCCCCUACUAUGUAGCACCAGAAGUGCUGAGAAAGAAAUAUGGUCCAGAAGCAGAUGUUUGGAGUGCUGGUGUAAUCAUCUACAUCUUGUUAUGCGGAGUCCCCCCUUUCUGGGCAGGUGAUUACUUUGCUAUUCCUUAUAUAAAUCAUGUAACUUUUGAUGAUCUCAGAAGGGUAGCAUCAUCUCAUUGAUGACUUCUUUUCAAAAAAAACUAAAUUACAACCAGAAAGCGAACAAGGUAUCUUCGAAGAGGUUUUGCACGGCAAACUCGAUUUUCAGUCGGAGCCGUGGCCUAGCAUCUCAGAGAGUGCGAAAGAUCUUGUAAGGAGAAUGCUCGUUCGAGACCCUAAGAAGCGUUUGACUGCCCACGAAGUUUUACGUAAGUAUCGAUUUCUCAGAGUCAUGAAAUGAUAUCUUGUCGCCUCGAUUUUCUCCUAAACCAAUCGCGAAAAUAAGUACAGUUCCGUAUUGUUUGACGAAGGAUAAUCGCGAAUUAAGAUCGAUUUAACUGCUUCCUUUCAAUUUCUUUCAGGCCAUCCCUGGGUUCAGGUCGGAGGUGUGGCUCCUGACAAGCCACUAGAUUCUGCAGUUUUGUCACGAUUGAAGCAGUUCUCCGCGAUGAACAAGCUCAAAAAGAUGGCUUUUAGAGUAAGCCUUACUCUUGCAUUGUUUCAUUUCUGGUACAAAAAAUUGGUUUGGUUUUGAGCCCUGCUUUUGUUAAGGUUCAAUAUUAGGACUCGAUGAUCUUCUUCACCCUGCAUUUUGAUCCUAAGAUGAUCAAUCAUUUGUUCUCUAGGUUAUCGCCGAGAGCCUAUCGGAGGAUGAAAUUGCUGGCUUAAGAGAGAUGUUUAAGAUGAUAGACACCGACAACAGCGGACAGAUCACUUUCGACGAGCUCAAGGCCGGAUUGCAAAGAGUGGGUGCUAAUCUCAAGGAAUCGGAAAUUUACGCGCUUAUGCAAGCGGUGAGUUUUGCAGCACAUCAUUUCCAUAUCACAGAAAGACUCUCCAUUUAAUGUUUACAAAUGGGUAGAAAACAGUUGAAGGGGUGUUGACAAAUGAAACAACAUGUAUAGUUGUGCCGGAUCUUCUUUUUAGAAGAAUUUGUACUUCGUUUUGAGUUCAAGUAGGGCAUGUUUUCAUCUGCUAUCAUCUUUGCUGAUAUGUCUCUCGUAUUCUGACGGAAACUGCAGGCUGAUGUAGAUAACAGUGGAACCAUAGAUUACGGCGAGUUCAUAGCCGCCACUCUACACAUGAACAAGAUCGAGAAGGAAGACCACUUAUUCGCGGCAUUCUCAUACUUCGACAAGGAUGGUAGCGGUUACAUAACACAAGACGAGCUGCAGCAGGCGUGCGAAGAGUUCGGUAUAGAAGAUGUCCGUCUAGAGGAAAUGAUACGAGAAGUCGACCAAGACAACGUAAAUUGCUGCUACUGGAGCUAAUUGUAUUAACUUCUAAUGAAUAUAAACCAUUCGACUAACCCUUUAACUUAUUUGUGUUCCAGGACGGGCGCAUAGAUUACAGCGAGUUCGUCGCGAUGAUGCAGAAAGGAAACACGGGCUUCGGGAAGAAAGGCUUGCAGAGCAAUUUCAGUAUCGGCUUUAGGGAGGCUUUCAAGCUUGGCUAAUCAGUUACUGCAAAGUUUACUCUCUAGUUUUUUUUUUUUCUUUUCUUUUCUUUGUUAAAUUCCUGAGAUGUUUCUACAUCAUAGGCAUUAAAUUACAUGAGCUGUAAAGAUACAUGAGCGCUAUACCAAUGGAAAAUAUACAACAGUGUAACAGUAUGUCAAAUGUAUGAAGAGUAUAUGCAUGAUUUGUACUUUGUUUGAGAAAUUAAAGGUGAAGCAUGUAGUUUCUUUUGUUGUAUAUAAGGAUUUUCUUGUUCUUGUUAUUAAUUUCUAGUUUAUUAUCCAUCUACUUGGCUUCUAACCUUGAAGCUCUUGUAUGUAGCUUAUGAAAGAUGCCAUUUCACAGUACAGCUGAUUUAGUUUCUCAGUGCUUAUUCGGUUCAACUUUCGUCACUGCUUCGCUACUCGAGAAGCAGAUACGCAUGUGCCUAAGAAAAUAUUUAGAGCUAGUCAAUGCAGCGAGGAGAUAUUUGAAUCCUCAUAAUGAAGAACACUUUCAAUUUUUAAAGUGAUCACACUUUAGAUUCAUGCCACUUUGGUUUCAGUAAUUUGGCAUAUUCUAUUGAGGACUUCAUAUUUCAGGUAGAAGAGAAGGCGAAAGAUAAAAUUAAAGAGGUAGAGUGGAAGAGGAGGGACAGAGUGGAGUGAAACUUUGAAAAAGAAAAACAAACCAAAACAAAACAAAAGGUAGAAAAUGCAAGAAGCAAGAAUGUGGCAGUUUUUCAAUUUUCAUGUAUUGUGCAGGAUUGAUCCAAGGAAAACGCUUCGUUGAUUCUCAUUAUUGUUGGAUCAUGUAAAAUCAUGUUCCGAAUCGAUAUCAUAGUGAAAACAUCGAAAAUUUGAGGUUUAUAGAUGUUAGGUAUCAGAACUUAAAGUUUGAGUACCAGUACUAUAGAAUACCUCAGCAGUUUCUCAAAAUUCGAAACUUGAAAAAACUGUUUUUGUACUAUGUAUCAGUAUGUGAAUUGAGUACCGGUACUGCCAGUACGGGUACACGAAUUGAGUACGGAUACUGAUUUUCUAUUUUUGUAUUGUAUACCAGUAUGCGAUUUCGAGUACUGGUACGCAAUUUUGCAACAGGCUAGAUCUUUUGGAUUGACCCCAAUUUGAUCUAAUUUUGAUCUUAGAGAUUAAAGAUGGUCCAAGAAAACUUUAAAGAAGAUUUUUAAGAGGAGAUUGAUGGUUAGAUGUGAAUCGGAAACUCGGAUGGACGGCUGAAAUCAUUUGCUACUAGACUUUGGGUUUUAGAGUUUAUUAACUCUUGUAAUUAAUGUUUUUAGUUGUGAGCUUCGUUGUAGACACCCCAAUUGACAGAAAAAUAUGGAGAGCUUCUAAGAGAGAGUUUCUUGUAAUCCAAUUUACUCCUUAUACUUUUGUGCUGCAAAUUAAUCGAAUAAUGUAUUGAAGUGGUCUUGCUCGUGAACGUAGAUUGACUCAUCGUUGGCCGAACUACGUAAAUCUUAUAUCUUUUGUACUUUCUUAUUUAUUUUAUUAUUUUGUUAUCUUCGUACUUAUUUUUUACGAUCCUUCUUGCCUUUUUCAUCUAGAGAAUCUUUUGCUGUGCUCAUAUGCUAUGUAAGUUUGAGAUGUACCCGUCAAUCCCCUGGCUGGUCCCCUCAAUUAUAUGUGUUCCUCUACAUAGCGGCCAGAUGACUCAGUCCAAAUGACAGCUGGAUGCGAGCAAUGCAACCUUGUUUAGUUGCUGUGACUACUACACACUGCAUAUACAUACAUACAUACAUACAUAAUACAUAUUUCAUAUAAUUUAUGAAAAAGGAAAUGGUCAAAAAAAAAAAAAAAAGAAAACCAUUGACUAGAGAUAUAUGUCAUUAUAUAAGGUCAUGCCCUGAAAAAGGAUGUAUCCAGUAACAACUAUAUGAAAAUCACAGGUGGCGAAAUGAGUAAAUAUUCCCAAAAGAUGACAUUUUAUUGCAAAUUGUCGUAUAAAAAUAAAUUGUGAAACACAAGAAGCAGAGCGACCAAAAAGAGCAUCUUGCUAUACACAAGACCACAACAAACAAUAACAGGGAGCCCUCCCUCUCUCUCUCUAGUGUUAUAUAAUAUUUAAUAUUAUUAUUAUUAUUAUGAACAUUAUUAUGACACACAACAAUAACAACAACCGCUCACUCAUUUGAUGAUCGCACCCCAACCCCCCGCAACUUCAUAUACCACCAACUAAAAAAUCUAGAAUAAUCAUCAUCCCUGAGGGGGCAAUUUUUAAAAUUUGGUGUUUUUUUUUUGGUCCUUGACUUGUCAUCACCCGAAUUUUGUUUAAAAAUUAUGAUUGGCAGCUGGAGAAGCGUUGACCAAAGCCGCCUAGCAUCUGGCACGCCGCUUCCAGUAAUUUCCCUGCAUUAAUUAACACAGAAAAAAAAGUCAUUAAUUCCAUCAAAAUCAAUUAUCUAAUCAUGCAGUAAACUUUAAUUAGGUCCCCAUAUUGGUGUAUUAUUUUCAUAAUAUUCUCAUCAUAUGGUUGAAAGAAUUGCACAAUAGACUUCAGCUUAAAUAAAUAAAGUCAAAGGAUCUGCAAAUUGAGUAAUAAAUUAGAGAAAAUGAGAGAGGGGAGUUGGAUGGAGGGCGCCACGUCUAAAUCACACCAAUAAUUGAUCGCGUUACAACCGAGGCUUUCUCCGGCGCAGCGGGUGUGGAUGUGACUCGUAACCCACACAUUGGUGUGCAUUCUAAGGAACCCAUAGCAAGAGAACUAAUAAAAGAAUGAAAAUUAAAAUUUAAAAAAAAAGAGGGGAAAGUGACAGCCAGCUCACGGACUGAUGGACUCCAGACGACACCGACACACUGGCUCUCUGACAGCUAAAUUCUACCAAAAUUAUAUUAAAGAGAAUAUUCCAAAAAAGUGCACAAAAUUUAGGGCGAAAUUAUUAAAAUGAAAAGAUAUGUUGAGUAAGAUAAAGACCCUUCACCGUACGUACAUAUGAUAUGGGUAUCUCGCCACCGACACAGCUACAAGGCAAUUAAGCCCGUGCUUUACAAACUUAAAAAAGCCCACACAAAUGCGCAUUUUAAUGCACUGGGUUUUGUUCUGUGUGUGUGUGUGUGUGUGUGUGUGUGUGUUUUAUCUUUCUUUCUUUUUAAAACGGUUAAAUUUAGCUACAAUUACCAUAGCAAUCAUUAUUAUACUCUAUCAAUAAGUAAUAUUCAAUGCUGAUUAGUAAUUAAAAAUGUUAGUUAGUUGCCACCGAGUGCAGAUGACAAAAAGAACUGGUAAUUUGACUUGAAAUAUUUUUAGAAUUUGUAAACUCACAACAAUACAUCUGAAUUAUUAUAAAAACCUGACAAAAAAUUGGUCAAAAAGUUUACAUUUUGAACUUCUUUCUUUUUUUCUUUUUUUUUUUUUUGUUUGCUGCGUUUCAACCAAUGGAUGAAACCUGGAUCAGUUAUUGUCCAGUCAAAUUUUGAGUAAACCCUACAUAGGAGGAUCGAAGAAACAGAACUAAACCUAAGAAAAAGGUUUCAGCAUAGUGUGGUAUGAUUAAGCCAACCAUUAAUUAGGUGAUGAUAUCUUCUAUCAUGAUCAUCUACCCCCCAAGAAAACGAAAUAAUAAAGUAGGAUAGCCUAGCCUACUAUCGUUUUCUCUCAAGAACAAUUCGAUCCAUUUGUUCCACUAAUGUUAAUACGAUGCAGAAAAAGAAAAAGAACACACAAAUUAAUUUCCUAAAUUUGAUCUGAUAUGAACAACUAGGUUUGGAUGAUCGGCUAAGAGUCACCAAAUUUGUCCUUUUGCUAGUAGAAUUAAAAAUUGAGCCGUCAAUGAUGAGAACUGAUGAUUAAAAUUCGCGAAUUUUUUAGUGAUCAGCAAUAUUGAGAAGAGAAUUAUUAAAAAGCAGUGAUCCGAUCUGAGAUGUGAGCUGAUCGAUAGAAUUGAGAAGAGAAAGAAAAGAGAGAGAAUUUAUGCAGAGCAGAGGGAGAUGCAGUGGAUAGCAGUAGUAGUGUAGCGGUGAGUGACUGACCUCUCCUGGUGGGCUUGGGCUUGGGCUUGCGCUUGACGAGGGGCGGCGGCUUGCGGUCGGCGGGAGCGACGGCGGCGCCGGGCGGGAGGGCCUGGUCGGGGGGGAAGAGGACGGCGUCGAUGCCCUGGACGGAGAUCCUGCCGUCGGUGUAGAUAUCGGGAUCGAACAAGUAGGCGGAGCCCUCGGCCUGGCCGAACUUGACGGAGCCGUCGGCCUCGCGGGCGACGACCUUGUGCGGGAGGCGCAGGGUGUCGUAGCGCACCUUGCCGAACCGGCGCACGGCAUUGUACAUGCUCUCCUCGGUCUGGUACUCGGGGAUGAGGUGGUAGUACACGAUCUGCUCGGGCGCGCCGGGCUCGCUCAGCUGGUCGGUGGUGAGGCGCGCCAUGGCCUCGUCGUUGGGGGCGAGCACGGUGAGGACGUAGCCCUCGGAGACGAGGCGGCCCAUCUCGGUGGCGAGGGAGGUGAGGUUGACGAGGAUGUCGGCGAGCUCGUUGUAGCCGCCGUAGAGGAGGAGGGUCUGGAUGAAGUCCUUCACCUGGCUCUCGCCGUCGAACCAGUGCUUGCCGGAGCCGGGGCCGGGGGCGGGGGCGGGGGCGAGCGAGGGGCCGGGGGCCAUGGCGUCGAAGAUGGGGAGGGCCGGGGGGGAGCCGGGGGGGACGGGGGGAGCGGGCUUCUUCAGGCGGUGGGUGACGCAGUGGAAGAGGAUUAGGGUUUGGAGGGAGCGCAGGUUGCGGGGCUCGAGGAGGAAGCGCUUGAACUCGGGGUCGAGGUCGCGGUCGAGGGCGUCGUUGCGGGGGGCGAAGACGGUGAGGUUGUGGCGCCCCACCGCGUCCUCUAGGGUUUGCAACAGGAGGGCCUUCUCCACCAGCUCCGCGAGCUCCGUGUAGUGGGAGUCGAGGAGCGCCACGAGCACGGAGUUGGAGUUGAUCCCAACCCCCGAUCCUCCUCCUCCGGACGACGACGACGACGACGACGGGGACGAAGAAGACGACGAGGAGGACGCUCUGAUUAACUCCGCCGCGGAUCGGGAUCGCCAUGGGCGACGACGUUCGAGGAGGAAACCCUAAACGAUGCCCCUUCUACAAUCUCUCUCUCUCUCUCUCUCUCUCUCUCUCUUCUCCCCCACUCCUACUCUAUUCUCUUCGCUUUUAGUUCAUUUGUCCUUUUCGUUGGUUUUAUUUUUAUUUUCCCCCUCCUCUUUUUGCGAAUUUUCUUUUUAUUAUUUUCCUUUCUCUCGAGGGAAAGAGAAGAGGAGGGGAAAACACGUGGCGAUUGGUGAUGCGUAAAAGACAUGUUGUGUUCCGGGCCCCACUUGCUCGUCCUCGUGAGUUAACAAGAAGCAGGCUCCGAAAUGACGCUUUUGCCCUCACGUACUGGGUUCAGGUGAAGAGCAUGUGCGAUGGGUAGAGUAGUAAUUUGAGUUCCUCCGUGUAAUUUCGCGGUAUUGGGUAUUAGGUGGGGGAUUUAUCGCGGUUUAUUAUUUGACAAAAAUGCCCUUCGUCGUGCGGACGAAGUUGCGAGUUGAGGGGAUGGGCAGUUUAGACAUUUUAGAGACGACCGACGCAGCGAUAGGAAAAUUAUGCGGGGGGCUUAUGGGGACGGAAGCUGAGCUGUCAUUGUUGCCUCUUAGCUUCGUUUUCAAUGUACGCAACCUUUUCAUUGCAAUUAUUUUUUUUUGUUUUGUUUUUGUAGUAUUUAUUGCUUGGUUUUUUUUUUUUUUUUUUUUGAGGAAUUGUAUUUGUCUAAUGAUACUUUAAAUUUUACAUUAAUUUUUGUAAUAUUAACAUGUUAACAAUAUUAUAUAAUGCAUUUAAUACAAAUGUGAAACAAAAACAAAAACAAAAUUCACUGCAACAUGAAAAAAAAAAAAGCAAUUUAGAGGACUUAACAAUACCAUAGUUUAAGGUAUUAAACUAUGAUAUAAGAUAAUUAGAAAAUAAAAAUAUUUCACAAUCUCACAACCACUUCUCUAUGGGUUGUUGACAUGAAAUCACAUGUGCAAGUCAAAUGAAAUUUCUUUAAAGAAACAUUAUAGAUUACUCCUAACAGUACCUUUUUUUUUUUUUUUUUUUUUUGAUAAAUUGUUUCGACCACUGAUAAUAUUAAAGCAAUUAAAAAGAGUUCGGGAGCAGCAUCAGCGUGACAUAAAUAAAAUAAAAUAAAAUAAAAUAAAAUAAUGGAGGGGAGAUGGGAGGGCGAUGUCUCGCCUGCCGAGAAAAUGCUCAGCUCGUCGCAGCGUCGGUGGUGCUUGUGUUGUCGAAAAUAUUCACCUUAUUACAUACGAAUAUAUUUUUCUUAUUCAAUCUUUAUUGUUAUGUUCUUUAUUAUGGUAUUUAUGCGUUGUUUUGGACCACUAUUUAACAUUUAUUGUUAUACGAUUGCAGCCCAGUAACGUGAAGAUGCAUAUGAAUUGAACACAAGCAUAUUCAUUCUUCGCCGUGCUCUAUUUAUAUAUAUAUAUAUAUAUAUAUAUAUAUAGAGAGAGAGAGAGAGAGAGAGAGAGAGAUGAGCUAGAAUAGUCUCAAAAGCACCAUAAAAGUGUUGCUUUUGAGUUUUUAGCCAUUGAAUGGAGAGAUGUGAGAUUGAGAUGAUAGUGGUAGGUAGGGAUGCAAACGGGGUGGAUCCGGGGGCGGGAGAGUUCCCCCACCUCCCGCUCCAUUUCUUAUCAGGGCGGGGCAGAUUCGGGGUGGGUUACUUUUUAUUUUAUUUUUGGCUCCCACUUACCGCUCCAUUCGGGGCGGAUCGGGGCGGGAGCCGGAUUUUUGACAGAUCGGGGCGGAUUGAAGGAAGAAAUGAGUCUCCCACCUCCCGCUCCAUUUACUUGGCGGAUCGGGGCGGAUUCGGGGCGGGUUAUAUUUUUUUAUAUUUUUUGUUCCCACUUACCACCCCAUUCGGGACGGAUCGGGGCGGAGCUCCACCAACCCGGAUCCAUUUGCAUCCCUAGGUAGGUGAUGGUAGGUGGUGGUAGGUGGAAUAGUGUUUAAUCCAAAGGCUAUUAGUAAUUAAGAAGUAGAUCCAAGGACUAAAAACUUAGGAACACCAAGGGGUUGGUCUUUCUAAAAAUAUUCUAGCUCAAUUAUAUAUAUAUAUUUAGCAAGACUUCUGUACUAUUAGAAGUACAGCAGUCUUUAUGCUCCUAACUUUCUAACCAACCAUCAAAUUUGAUGGGGGGUUAGAAUGAAAGGGGCAAGAGAUAUUGGAGAGAAGAAAAAUUCAAGGAGGAGGAAAAUUGAAACACCCAAUUUCUCUCCAAUAUCUCUUGCCCCUCUCAUUCUAACCACCCAUUGAACUUGAUGGGUGGUUAGAAAGUUAGGAGUAUAAGAACUGCUAUACUCCUAAUUGCACAGUAGCUCUACUAUAUAUAUAUAAUACAUAUAGAGAGAGAGAGAGUCCGGCUACUAUGCUAUUAAUAGCACGAAGCACUUGGUGCUACCAAGUUUUCCGCCGUUAGAUCUACCCUUUUGAUCAUUUUCACCCAUUAGAUCAUACUAUUCAACCAACCACCCACUCAACCCUAGGGGGCCCACAUCAUCCUAACCGCACAUCUAUUAAUUCAAUGGCUAAAAACUUGGUAGCAUCAAUGACUUGUGCUAUUAAUAGCAUAUUAGCCUAGUUCUAUAUAUAUAUAUAUAUAUAUAUAUAUAUAUAUAUAUAUAUAUAAGGUGAAUUUUUAUUAGCUUAUUUUAAAGAGCAAUUAUCAUUUUUCUUAUUUAAAACUUGUUGCCAGAGAAAACCAACUACAUGUGCACCGACAGAAAAAUGCAACAAGUAAAUAUGAUGUGAGGCAGUGGCCUUGCUUAGAGGUACAGCAAAGCUUAUUUCAGCAGUCCAAAUCAAGAGAUGGUACAGUCAAAUUAAACAAUUUAUUGAACCCAGGAUUUAUAAAAAGGAAUUGAAAUUUUAGUUUGAUAUGUUGGGCCCUCCUUAAACAUCUUUAACUUAUCUCUUGGUUUUGAAAUGGAAAAAGCUGGUUAGGAAACAAAACACCUAGUUUCAAAAAACAAAUAGAAAGGGACAAAAAGAGACAUUAAAAAAUGCACUCAAUUGGCAAGAUAUGGGCCCUCCAAGGGAGAACAUUAAAAAAAGAAACCAACAAAAUGAUACCCUUCUCCAAGAGAUGCUAAUAAAAGUACUAUAACCAUGCAAUGUACCAUUUUGCAUUUCCACUGUGUAUAGAGAUAAGACCCAACUAGAAGAGACACUGACCAUCAGGGACCAUGUAAUAAAAGUUGGACGUGCUGGAAAAUGAUCUUACCAGCAAAUCAAUAAGCAGCAAAGUCAAUAUUCUUGAAAUCAAAAUCAUGUUUCAUGCUUUUACCCGAUAAAUUCAGCGCAACACAGACUAUUGUUGCAGAAGGUCGAGAAUUAAAAUUAAAAAACAAAAAAGCAACAUUCAAGGUGCUGCCAUUCAUCUACAUCAAAUAAUUCUAUGAUCUGUAGUAGGAUAAUAUUUGUGUUAUUAGUUCCAUAAGUUAUUCUAUAAAAGUCAUAGGUAAUAUCUUAGUAAGCAUUAUAUAUGCCACGUGCUACUUACAAACAUAUUUAUCAGUCCAUAAUCCAUAGGUUACAAAAACAAACAAAGAAUCUUUUAAGAAAGCUCGUUAUAACUUAUCCAGCAGCCAGAUGCACCUCCGAGGCAUCCACGGUGAAGCAUUUAUGUAUAUUCGACAUUAACUGCUGAAGAUUAUGCCCUGAAAUAUUGCAAACAUAAUGGCGUACUUUGAUUAAUAGCUGGAUAUUUUCUAAUAUACAGUACAACAGAUGGAGAGAGCACAAAAAAAAUAGAAAAGGAAAAGUAAAAUCAUCAGCAUGUAUUCUGCAGUAAACUUGAUCAAAAGAUAAUAAAGAACUACAAAUGAAAUAAUAAGCAUCAAGAUCUAAGUGUUAUGUAAAUAAUUUAGCACAAAGCAUGUUGAAAGCACUUUAAUCAACAAUUCGUCAUUGCAAUGCCAUGAUAUAUAGAUAAUAGCUAGUCUGGUACAACUACUUGGGGCCUGUUAAGAUGCAUGGUUAUCUCAUUCAGUAUAACUCUAUAGUUACUAAAGGUGAUACAAUGGUUUAGUUUAUAGGGCCUAUAAAUCAAUUUUCCUCAAAAUCUAAGAAAUAACCUAAAGCGUGGAACUUACUAUGCUAAAAGGUCGGAACUAUUGAGAUUAAGAGUCUAAAAUCAAAUUACUUGGUUCUAAUCAAACAAGAAAAUCCCCAUAUCGCCCCUAAACAAUUGCCUACAGCAGACAUGGAUAUGACAUACAUUAGUUAUACCUACAAGGCAAACAAAACUCUUAGCAAUAUAUAUGAGUUCACAAGAUGACUGCUCGACAAUCUUAAGUUAGAACAAUACCCCUCACAUCCGAAGAGAAUAGCAACCAAAGCAUAAGUGAUGGACACACUCGUAAUAAAAACUGGGCCCAAUGACUUAUUAUUGCUAGUGGAUCCGCUAGCAAUAAAAAAUGUAACGAAGGGAGUAAGUGACAUCCCAAUAAUUCCACAUCGGAUAAUGUGGGAGAGUGUUAUAUGGGUUUAUAAGUGACGGAAACACUAGUAAUAAUAACUGAAUUUAAGCAUUUUAGGCCGAUGGUUUGUAUCCAACGAAUUAUUAUUGCUAGUGGGGCGAGUCGUUACAGGUCGGGUCGUUACAGUAAACUUCAAGAAUGUCACUGAAUGCAGGAUGACAACUAUGUUGAACAGGUAAAAGACUACCAAAAAAACACACGAAAAAAAAGAAGCAAGAAACAUACAUCAAAGAACCAACUGUGCCUCCUAAACUAAUUCUUAAAAUAAUCAGUCAUGUUAAACAUCUUUUCCCAACAUUAUCUUCCACAUAUCUGACUCAUCCAGAAAACACAUGUAGCAACCAGAACAUGUUCAAGAAGUCUUUUCGUACGUCUUAUAAUGCCUUCUAAUAUUUUAUUCCACGAUGACCGAUUGACAGUAGGAUGCGACAAUUUCUCACAAAUCACAAAGUUACUUAUGCCUUCAACCAAUCCACACCGCUCUCAAGCACCAAAUUGGCAAGUUAAUCAAUGGCAAUUGAUCUAGUCUCAAUCAAAGGUUAAAUGGCAAUGAUUUCCAUCACCUAGCAAAGGAUUUUAGUUAGGUUUGUAAACUAAAGAUCUCCUAGUUGUUGUCUCUCAACAUUAUGACGCAACAAGACAUUCCGUCCAAGCUCAUGUCCACCAUUACAGUUUCCUAACAUGAAGGGGUUCUUUGCAGCAAAACAUUGCUAACAACUUAAGAGAGAUGGCAGAUCAGUUGAGGGGAAAAAACUAGGUAAAAUUUGCAAAUAAAAUUAAGGACUCCCACUCAACAAAUCAGCCAGAUUUCAUAUUUGCAUGUUAACUAAGAAUCAGGUGUCACAACUUGAAUACACCUUAAGACUCAAUGAUUCAAGGGGGCACCUCCACUAUGAUACUCAUCAUAACUUAGAGCAUCAUAGAGAAGUAAAUCCUAAAGUUGUUAGUUUACAAUUUCUGAUUAAACAAGCAGAAACUAAUAUUGUAUACUUAAAACUAAAUAAAACUACAGGAACCAAUACCAGGGGCAUAUGAAGAGCUUUACUGAACACAUACUAGCUUAUUUUGGAGCAGAACUUGCAGCACAAGAAGCAGAUGGAGUAGCAUUGUUUAGAAGAGCAGUGCUAUUUGAUGUAACUCUCUCAUUACUUGCCUCCCUGGCAGAAUGAAUUUGACUGCCUAGCGGAGUAGAAGCCGUAUAUGGUCCAACAUUAUCUCUCGUUUCAAGCCGGUCCAUCAUGCGUGACACAGUAGCAAUUCCUGCAUUGACCUCUCUCCUGACUUCAGAACCAAAGUCAGAUAUAACACUGUUCCGAGAAAACAGUCUGUCUCUCCAUCCUCUUGUACUCUUUGUUAUAGAGUCUUUGUAUCUGAUAGCCGCAAAUUCAUGAUAAGGAAACUUGGAUUAUCAAUUAUUGUUCAUAUGCUUGUACUUUUAAACACAUGAAACUAGAGAUUACCUGAUUGAGACUGCAUUCAGGCGAGACUUUAAAGACUCUGAAAAGGAAUGCAGGUCGGAUGGUCCGGCUCUAUCUUGGCUUACAGGAGAAAAUUGCCCAGCAGAACUCCUGAAGUACAAAAAAUAAAAACGAAACAUAAAUAAGGCACAAAGUCCCAGAUAGGAAAAGCUAAUAGCUAAAUUCCACCUCAAGUCCUUUAACUUGUUUGCAAAUUUAACUUUAGUCCUCGAGCCAAAUGGUUGCCAUGUGUAUAGAGGUAACACCCACAUGGCAGCGACAUUGGACUUCUACUGGUCUCCUAACAGGCAUUGAAUGGACGGACUAUAAUGAAAAAUUUAGAAAGCAGCAUUCUUAAGCUUAAAAAUUGACUAAGAGAGAGAGAGUGGAAAAAAAAAAACAAAAAAAAAACUUAACAGCCUUAGAAACCUACAGGAGCAACUUAUUUGAAAAGAAAGUGCAAGCAUAUAUAGGCACACAUGGACACGAAAAUUACCUGUUACUAGCAAAAGUAGCACUAUUCAUGGAUGGAGAGGCUGCAGCUGGAUCAACUGGAGCAGAGUUUAUUGGCGAAGCUUCAUGUGGUGAACCCUCUUCCACCGCAGCAAAAGAAGCUGAUGGAUUAUCAGCAACUAUAGUGGGGACUGGCUCAUUUUCACUUCGAGCCGAAGAUGCAGAGACUGAACCAACAGAAGGAGCAUUUUGAUGUGCUGAGAAGACAAGGAGUUGUGGGCGACCAUGAACUGCUGAUGAUCUACCACGAUGGCCCUCUCUCCUAGCAGUGUGAGAUGUUCUGCGCAUUGCAGCUGCAGCAGCCAAGUGCUGAAUAAUACGCUCUUCAAAUUCAGCAUCAUCUGCCCCUACCGGUAACUGAAAGGAUAUAUUGGGCGGUGUUCAAUAAGAUUCUAUAUGUAUGUGUACAGUUCAAUAAGAUUCAUUAAUUAUAGAUCUAAUUACAUACAUGCUGCAGUUCAAAAUCACCCAGCACUGGAUGAUGAAUAAUGGUAGCAGUUCGUGAUCGGUUGACCCUAAAACUUCUUUCUUCUUCGACAGCCUCAAGUAGUUCUUGGCUGUUACAAUCAGCAGGAAGAACAAAAUCAAACAACAUAAUCAAAUAAAACAACUUUCAAUAAAUUUUUGAGCAGAUUAAACUAAACAGUCAAACCUGCCAGGGUCCUUCAAGCUGAUGGGCCGCCAGCACAUGGGGCACUGGGAGCUCCUUUGGCACCUGAAUCAACAUACAAACUAUUAUGGUGGAAAGUGCAUAGAAAAUCACAUAAAGAGAAGGAACAUAGAAGUUGGUAUAAAACCAUAUUAGAGAAUAGGGGAUCCAUGAGGAAAAGAAAUGAAAAUUUAAGAGGAAAGUGCUAGAGUUAUCAAGAAAUUAUAAUAACAAAGACAUUUUCAGCCGUUAAAUUCAGUUAACUUUCUGGAUGAAGCACUAAAAAUCCAUAACUAACAGCAAACGUUAAUCCCAUCCUCGAAGACAAGCAAAUAAAUUUGAAGAACUAAGGUAACUCGGACAUCUCAUGUCACCAGAAUUUCUCCACAGCAAACUAGAAAUGCCUAGAAUGAAACUGCCAUCAAAUACAAAAGAAAAAGGCCACAGUGAGGCAGAGAAUACCAUUCGAGAAUGCAUUGCAGAUGAAACUCAUGCUUGCAACUAGUCACCUGGGGGAUCAGCAAAAUGUUUGCAAUUCACGAACAAUCUAAUUUAAAUAUCAGAAAGGGGGAAACAUAAUGAUAAAAAUUGAAGUAGAACUCGAAAGAAACCACACCGUUGAGGGAUCACUCUCGCAGAACUCUUCGAGACAAAUGCUGCAAGCAUCAUCACAGGCAUCUUGAAUGCCCCCUUCGACAAAGGCGGCGGCCGACGACAAGUGGCUCUCCAUCUUCGCGGUCUCCUCCAUCCUAGGAUUCGCCCCUACCUCAUAAUAUUAUUUCCAAGAUAAAUCGACUUAGACAAGGAAAUAAACAAAACUAAACAUAGAAUUGGUGGAAGGAAUCAUACUUAGAUGUUAUAUCCCAAAAACGACCAAGCAAAUUAAUCAACAAACCCAACAAACAUCCGCCGAACUCGAUCAAAAGAAUAAAAGCGGCGCCUUUACCAAAGAAGAAUAACGCAGCGGUACUAAGUUAAACCCUGAAAAUCGAACGUGCACACCAAUCGACACGUACGCGGACGGCGAGGGGGAAUAAUCUAGGAAAUUACACAAACUGAAAUAAAGAAACACCAAAUCGAUUGAGCGCCGGGAAGAAGGGGAAAUAGCAAGCGAUCGUGAACAAAAACUGAUACUAAAAACGAAGGAGAAAAGGAAAAAUAUCACGAAAUGGAGGGGAGAAAGGAGAUCGACGCGUACCUUCGAGGGAUUGAACAAGGUUUAGGGUUAAAGGAUCGGAUGAUCGGGAUCUUUCAAGGGAUGCGGAGCUCGGAAUCCAUUGAAGCGGCAACGAUGCGAAGCGAGGAGAGGGGAAAAGGGGACCCCGUCUCUCUCUCUCCCCCCUCUCUCUCUCUCUCUCUCUUCUUCGUCGAAAUGGUAUGGGGGAUUUGUUCGCGUUUUUUUUUGUGGUCGUAACCCUAAUUAUUCCUCUGCCGUUCGGAGGGAGAUCACGACCACUGUUGGUAUACGGCGGGAAAAAAGUCGGCUAGACCCGGUCUAUCACGUCUACCACGGACCGCAGUUGACCUUGGCAAACGGGCCUGUUUAUGGACCGGGCCUAAUUUGGGCCGAGUUUUAUUGUUUUUUUGAUGUUUGAACCCGACCCGGUUUGAAAUUUGGGUCGCUAAUUUAGGCUCGCAACUGGUCCAAAAUGACCCAGGCCAUUAUACGACCUGAUCAAGCAUGCCCUACGGCGCGUGAUUGGUGCUAGGGGUGGAAAUGAGCCAAGCUUGAGCGAGCUUAUCUUAACUCAAGAUUGGCUUGAAAUUAAUUUCAAAAUUAAAUUUAAGCUCAAGCUCGGUUUGAAUUAAUUGGAGCCGAGGUCAAGCGAGCCCAAUUUCGAUUUGAGCAAGCUUGAGCCCUAAACGAGCUGCUUGAAAUUCUUAACAUUACGCAAUGUAUAAUCUAAUUUUUAGAUAAAUAUGUCUAAUAGUUUAACAUACAAAAUAAAACGUAUGAAUACAAAAUUAUAUAUGAAGAAAAAAAAUUAGAGAAAUCAAUUAUGCGACCAAAAUGGAAAAGAGGGGGGAGAGAGAGUAAUUAGAAUAGGGAUUUGCUUGUUUGGUUUUAUAGGCCAGCAAAUAUGCCCAAUAAUCAAAAUUCUAUAUAAAUAUAAUUAAAAUAAAUAAUAUAAAUUAUAUAUUAUAUAUAAUUAUUAAUUGGGCCGGAAUGCUUGUAAAUAGCAUUAGCAUUAGACGAUGAGAAAAUACCUUAUUUGUUUCCGUAUGUAAUAUUGCGUUCCGCAUAUUGCAGUUAGUCGGUUACGAUAUAUUUUCUGUGAUUCCAUCGAAAAACGCAGAAGCAUAUCCCUACACGCUCUCCCUACAUGCUUUUUCUCAACUCUAUUCUGUCUAAUAGCGUUAGAUCCAUCUCAAUACCAAACUAAGCAUAAGUCGUUGGUGUUAUUAAGUUUUUGGGCGGUGAAGAUGAUAGUAGUCCUUAUGGCACACACACGAGCUUUUCGAGCCUAAUUCGAGUGAGCCUGGUAAUGUAUCAAGCUCUGCUUGAAAUAAAAAAAAAAUAAAAAAUAAAAAAAAAUUGCUUAAGCUCGAUUUAUUUAAUUCCGAAUCGAGCGCGAGUGAGCUGAAUACCGAGCUGGCUUACUCAUUCGCCGGCCCUUGUUGGUGUUGAGGGUGAGGUAGAGCAUAUACAAAUAUACUUUUCUAUCCCCCGUGGGACAGUCAACCCCUAAGAACUCUUUUAUUGUUACCGGCCUUUAUCGUAUAAAAUGAAAAGUUUCAAUUGGAUUCCAGCAGAAUCUGAGCUGACAGAAUUUAAGCCGAGUUAUUUUUCGGAUGGUUUAAUUGAACCUUCAAUAUAGGAGUAUGCGAUAGUCCAAUCCCCAACUUUUUACUUGCACCGUACUAGACAAUGGUGGUGUGUUAUAAGUACCUUAUUUAAAAAGAGAUAAUAUAUCAAAAGAAACCGACUGUUCCUAGAGCAGAUGGUAAUGGACUUGAUAGUUGGUAUCCGAGAUCCCAAGUUCAAAUUUUAGUUAAUUCACAUUUACAAUUAAAUUUAUUUCUAAAUAAAAUAAACGAAACAAAAAAAAUGAAAAUAAUAUAUCGAAAGAGACCAACUCCUACCACUGUUUUAUUCUGCGAGUCCGACUAAGACUAGUGCUAUUAGAAAUAUUUUACUAUAAUUUUUAUUUUUCUUGUUUUACUAAUUUUACAGCAAGAAUCAAAAAUUAUUAUUAUUAUUAUUAUUAUUAUUACAAUAAAUAGGCCCCAAAAGUCAUAAUUUUUGGUGUGACGCUGUUGACUGGGCAAAUGGCUGGUUUGACUCAUUUAAAGCUUCUACAUACGAGCUCAUUGAAUAGUGUUCCCACGAGCCACUGCUCCAUGUCAGAUCUGUGUACAAUUCCAUUGGCUUUUUGUUCAUAAAGUGAUCGUACAAGUGCAGCAGAAUUUUCUUCGUUUGGGAGUAAUCAGAUUUGGUUUGGCAUGUGAUUAGAAUUUGAUGCCCAAAAUAGACAAAAGGGCAUUUACAAAAGGAGUAGUUGAUUCGAUGUUGUCUUAGUUUGGAUUUGAUGCUUAAACAUAUUUUAUUCUACAUAUCUCGAUUGGAUGCUAAAAAAUAUUUUAUUCUACGCAUUUUUUUUAAAACAAAACAUAAUAUUUGAUGAGUAGAAAAAAUAAUUAAAUGCCCAGUAUUGUAUAUUCAGUCUUCAAACUCAAUUUUUUAAAAUUAUCCCUAACACAAUUCUCUAAAAGUUUUAAGUUUCAAGUUCACAUUUCUAACUUAGUUUAUUUUAAAAAAUAAAAUAAGUAACUUGGCUACUUUUAUCUAAAAAGAUAAUGAUUAAAAUUGGCUGGGAAUAAUUUUUUCUCUAAUUUUUACUCAAAAAAAAAGAAUUAAAAAAAUUAAGUUCUUUAACUUGCAAUCACAAUAAAAGAAUUUUCGUACCAACUCAUAUCAAACCAUUUUAGCGUUCAGAUUAAGAUUGGCUAUGUUGUCACCUGAAAGGGACAAUAAGAACACCAACAUCACCAACGCAUAUCAAUUAAGACUUACAUGGACAUUUGCAAUAUUUCCAGCUUUAUAGAAAUAUAACAAUAUGAUUCUUCGAUGACUUUUUUUUUUCAUGAUUCUGUGGACAUGGAUGUAAUAGAUUCGUUCAGAAAAUGUUCAUUUGAUCAUCUAAAUUGAAAGCACAAGUUUGGUACGUAAACUUCUUUGAUAAUAGUCGCAGACUUAUAUAAACUAUAAUCCUUAUCCACAAUUCAUAUCACAAAAAGACCGACCGUUUCUAGAGUAAGUGAAAAAAGAUUUGGUGGUUGGUAUUCGAGACCCAAAUUCGAAUGAUAAAUGAUUCACAUUUCUAGCUAAGCUUAUUUCUAAAUAAAAUAAACGAAACGAAAAAAUUGCUACCUAUUUCUAUAUAUAUAUAUAUAUAUAUAUAUAUAUAUAUAUAUACCACAACGAGUGAAAAUUGUAAGAAAAAAAACAGAAUGUGGGGCCUAAAAUGUGUAUAAUGCAGGCCCACAAAAAUUUAGUCUAAUCAUGCAUAGUAUAAAUUUACAAACACACAAACAAAUUACUCAGAAUUUUUUUGCAAUCUGUUGCAUUUCUCUUAACUUUAUUAUCCAUACGAUGAUUUAGAGCUUGUGUAUCUCGUACAUAGACACCUUUAGAUCACACGAUUAUUCACUCAGAUGUAAUAAAAAUUUCUAUACACACAAUCGAAAUGACGAAUAAUAAGAUAAAAUAUACAAUUAUGGAGAUGAGAAUUGAUAAGAUAUUUUGCCAAAAUAAAUUUUACUAUUAUCAAAACAGAGAAAUAUAACUAUUUUGAUAAUAUUAAAAUCUAUGUUUUUUGACAACAUUAAUUUCCAUUUAGAAUAGAAAGAUUUUUUUUUUUUUGUGAGGAGCAAAAACCUCAAGGAAAAAAAAAAAAAAGAAAAAAAAAUCCGAAACGAAACCGUUACCGUUCGUCCUCCACCUGCGACGGGCUCCGCCAGAACCCGGCGCCGUAGAAUCUCUUCCACAUCUCCUUCUCGGUUUCGGACGCCUCCUCCUCCGCCCCCGUCGCCGCCUCCGCUUGGUGGAGGUGGAGAUAGAACUCGACCCCGUCCUUCUCCGCCGCCGCGGCCGCGUCGCCUCCGCCUCUGCGUUCGGGGGCGGCGGCGAGGAGCCCCGGCGCUCUGGCCCUCCUCCGCCGCGCCGCCCUCGCCCUCAUCGCGCGGCGGCAGAGCCCCGCGGGGAGCCUCACCACGGCGGUGACGACGAGGUCGACCACCGCGCAGGGGCAGCAGCAGCACACCGCCGCGCACCCCGCCGCCGUCCCCCCCGCCGCCUCCCCGAUCCGCCGCCGCGCGCUCGGCCGCGGCCCCGCCACCGCCGCCUCCUUCAGUAUCACCGGUUGCCUCCUCCUCGCCUGCACCGCCGCCGCCGCCGCCGACGACGACGACGACGACGACGCCGCGGGGGCCCCCCUUCGCCCCAUCAGAUGCCGCGCGAUCCCAUCGUCGAGAUUGAAAGAGGGGAAAAGUGGAAGGGUUUCGAUCGAUCCUUAGAACCCGGAAGAACCGUCGCGAAGAUUCCGGAACGAUCCGCGAGAUCGUCGCUGAGAAGGCGAGAACGCACGAGAGGGAAACGGAAGCCGUUACCGGAAACGGGAUUUGGUUGGAUUGUGUCGAACGCUGCUUCUCGCGUCUUUUGCGUUCCAAAGAAGAGACCAUAAUUAUUGCAUAGACCGUGGUCCGUACACCGCAUAUUUCAAAAACUUUUAAUCUAUAGAGCAUAAAAUUUGUAACUCUUUGCACCAAAAAUAACCGUCCCUAAAGUAAGUCGCAAAAGGCUUAAUGGUUCAUACCCGAGAUCCACAGUUCGAAUCUUAAUUGAUUCACAUUUUUUGCUAAAUUUAUUUCUAAAUGAAAUAAACGAUGCGGGUAGCGUCCAAUGAAAAUUCCCGAAAUUCUAUAGAAUUAAAACUUUAAUUUUAUUUAUUAAAAUUUAAAACUAUUUGGUUCUGUAAGUUAAUAAGAAUUUAAGUAAUUUAAAAGAAUCUGACUUCAUAAAAUGACUUUCAUCCUUUUCACAUAAUUUUAAAUCGAAUUGGUGAGGUCAUUUGCUAUUUAGUUAAUUAUUAUUUACAAAAAUAGCUAUAAAAUCUCUCAAAUUAUGUAAAUCAUAAUAAAAUUAUAUUAAAAUAAGUUUUCAUAAUUUACCAAACAAGGCAAAUAGAAUAGAAUUUUGUGGACCUCCAAUUUAGAUUUAGUACCAAAACGAGAAUUAAAAAUUUGUAUUGUAAAGUAACAAUAAUUCUAUACCCAGAUAGAAAAUAUAUACUAAUAUGGAUAUGGUCGCAUCAGAUGCAAAGUAAAAUUAUGAACCGCUCCUCUUCCUUACCAUUUCGCCGGAAUCCGACAACUCCUUCACUAUGUAGAUCUUAAAAUCAUUUGCAUAAUGAAAACAGUGAAGUUAGUUGUUUAGAUAAAGACAUCUCUAAUAAAAUACUGGUGGACGACCUAUAUAAUGAUUUAGUUUCUCACUAUGACUAAAAAAUUAGACAUAAGCUCUGAUAAAAAAAAUUAACAGUAUAAAAAAUCAUCAAAUGAAAAUUCUAGCUUAAUAUGUAGGAUCAAAUCGAGAGGAAUAGAGGUGCCAACCGCGGCAAAGUUGCCGAUUUUAACACACUUUUUACAGACCAGUAUUGUCUAAGUAAUGAAAUUAAUUUUUAAAAUAAAAUAUAAUAUAUCUGCGGACUUUGUAGAAAUUUUGCUCUCGGUCUAUAGAUUUUUUUCCAACGCAGAAAUUACCAGGAAAAAGGGUGUGGGCCCGCCGGCCCUGCUGACGUAAGAAUUACGUGGCACCAAUGGCCCUGAGGGCUCCACGUGUCGAAUCUGGUUCAAUUGGCAACAACUAGGAGUUCCGUUGGGCUGGGCCGUACUAGGCCCGAACUACAACCUUGAUUUUAGAUCUAAAUAAAUACAGUGCGGAAACUUUUUUUUUUUUUUCCUGAUUCCAAAAAGCCAAUAGAAAGCUUAGAAAUACGCAAUCAAUUCACUUAAAGUAUACAGAUACAGCACCCACGAGUUUCGAUUGUGACUUGAUCCAAUUAGCCUCAUGCCACUUCGAACAUGACUCCGCCCACCCAGUCUCAUGCAUUUCGAACACGACUCGACCCAACAUGACCUCCCGCCACAGGGCGGGAUGCUGGCCCAUUUAAGCCAACAAAUCACACCACUUUAAUUAUAUCUUGUCAAUCAAAUAUUAUUUAAACUGAAAAAUAUGAUAAAAAUAUUUGUUUAUAAAUUAUGAUAGGAUAGAUAAAUUAUAAGAAAAGAUUAUGAUUGGUUGGGACACGCCGCGUAGAAUAUGUGAAUGACAUAUUGUAGAUUUUUUUCUGCAAAGCAAGGCUUGCGUCUUUCCCGGUAUUAAUCUUAUUUUGUGGUUCAGCGAGUCUAGAAUGUAGCAGGACUCAAUAUAGUGUCUGAUCGAAGUGGGAGGGGCUCAAAAAUGAACUUAUAUUUUAAAUCUUCUGCAGAGCAAAUACGUUAUAGGAUUAUAUAAUAAUAAUGUCCAUUUUAAUAUUAUCCUAGCGCAAGUGGCAAAUGGCUUGGUGGUUGAAAUCCGAAAUUCUAAGUUCGAAUCCUAGUUGAUUCACAUUUCCAGCUAAGUUUAUUUAUAAAUGAAAUAAGCAAAGCAGGUAGAAUGCUACUUAUCUCUAAGAAAAAUAAUAAGGAAUAAAUUUUUUUAAAAUAAAGUUAUUUGCUCCGGGCCAAAAAUUUCUACGAUGGCAAGCUUAAUUGGCCCAGAUAUCGCCUGGGCCGAUUUGGUCAUUCCUCACAUCUGACCUCGAACAUCUAAUUUUCAUUGGAGAUAAAGUAGUAAUGCGACUCUGAAUCAUUAAUAACUAGUGUAGUAACCCGCGCGUUGCAGCGGAUAGAUAUAGUUAAAGUAAAUUUAUUAUAUAGCUACUAAAUCAAAUAUUUCCUAUUAUUUUGAAAACCAAAAUGGUUCAAAUGAACUGGAUUCCAGCAAAAAUUUAUGUAUACUAAUAUAUUGAACCCGAUUAGUAACAAAAUGCUUAUAGCAAAAGAAUAAGUAUGCCAAUCUACUUAGUUGAAUAGUAACAAAAUUUAUACUAUUUAGGAAGAGAAAAAAGUUUAGAUAAAAAAUCCAACAAAAAACAAUAUUUCACAAAUCAAAGCACUCAAAGACUUAAUUUUUCUUAUAUAAGCUAUAUUUCAAGAAAAUGAAGAUAUUUUUAAAUUAUUAUAUAAAUCUAAUUUUGUCAACAUUCUUACAUCUAGUAAUAAAAAAGUCAUAAAAGUAGAAAAAAUAAAUUAUACAAUAUUUUUUUAAGAGACAAAAAAAUAUACAAUCUAACACAGUAAAAAUAAUACAGAAUUUUACUAACCAAUAUAGCUAAAAAAUAAAAAAGAAGUAAAGAAACAAAUGAUACUAUUGCUGCUCCUCCUCUUUCGCCACAGUACCCUUGCGCUCCAUCUCUUCUUCGACAUCAGGAUCAUGUUCAAGAUACCGACAGUCCCUAUAGCAAGUGGCAAAGGGCUUGGUGGUUGGUACUCGAGAUCCAAGUUCAAAUCCCAGUUGAUUUAGAUUUCUAGCUAAGUUUAUUUCUAAAUGAAAUAAACGAAGCGGGUAGCGAGCUACCUAUCUCUCUCUCAAAAAAAAAAAAAAAGGAUCAUGUGCAAGAUCAGCGUUUUUGAGCAACGUAGUUGUAGAUGUUCCGCUGUUUUUCGGGUAGGAUGUUGAGCUCUGCGUGCUCUCCCAUCUUCCUAGUCUCACCUAUGGCAAAAAUAAGGCAAAAGGCCAUUGGAAAAAGGAUCGAAUAAAUGCAACGCAAGACAAAGGACCAUUAAAAAAAAUAGAGUUAAUAUAGUUUGUAAGAAAAAAAAAAAAAUUUUCCGUGACGGUUGUUUGGCUGAAAGAAAAAGAAAAAAAAUAAAAAAUUAUUUAAUAUAUUUUUUAUUAUAUAUANAGGAACUAGUUUUAUCUAUUAAACUCUGCUUGAAGUACGAAACAAUUGAUUUUUAAAUUUAGAAUCCCGAAUAUCAACCAUACAAUUCUUAAGAAAAAAAAAAGAAAUGGCUUAAGGAAGACGAAGAAAGAGAAAAUAGACGUGCCUAUGUAAAACAAAAGAGAAAAAAAAAAUCUCAAAAAAAAUAAGGUUGUGCCAUGAGCUAUAAAUAUUAGGUAUUAACAGACCGGUAUAGAUUCUUAAGAGAAGAAAAAUGGCUCAAGAGAAAUGAAGAAAGAGAGAAGAAAAGAAAAAAAAUUCUAAAAAAAAAAAAAUUGCACCACAUCAGCUAUAAAUAUUGGGAAUUAAUAUAUAGGUAUAGAAGAUUUAUCAUGAUUACGUACUCCCGGUAAGCUCAUCAGGAAAACGAUAAUGUGCAAGUUGGAGGUACAAAGUUGAUGUUUUAGCUAAUCCUACUAGGACAUAAUUAAAUAAUGAUAUAAUUUUAUUUAAUAUUCAUAAUAUUGAGUGAUUUUCUCAAUAAUUAACCCAACUUUUAAAACACACAAGGAUCAUGAAAAAUGACAUGUUGGUCCAUUACAAUUGAUCUCGAUUAUUACCAAGCUGAUAUUUUUCUUCUUUCAUGUAAUUCAAGGUGGAAUCAUUAUUCUUAUUAAUUCAAUUACAUGAGUCCGACUGGAAUACUAUCCAUAGCGCCAAGGAUUUGAUACUAUCGAGUUUUUCACUAUUAGAUUUAACUCUUUGAUUAUUUUUACCCGUUAGAUGAUACUAUUCAACCAACCAUUCACUCAACCUUAGGAGGGCCCAUAUUAUCCUAGCCGCACAUUUCUCAAUGUAAGGGCUAAAAAACUAAUAGCAACAAUAGCUUAGUGCUAUUGAUAAUAUUCCAGCAUAAUUUCAAUUACAUCAAAUUACUGUAUUUUAUAUAAUAUUAUAUUUGUUCAUAAAAUAAUAUUUUUCUAUCGAAGUGUUAAUGGAAUAUACAUCACAAUCUCAAACGAAAAACACUCUUUCGUACAUCCAAAAAUGAAAUGUAAAUUUUAUCCCAUUCAUGAAGUUCAAGUAAUUUAUAUAGUAAUAUUAUUCUCCAAUCAAACUUGCUUUUCUUAUUUUAUUUUUAGACAUAAAUUAAUUCGAGGGUUUAGGCUACUUUCCUAUUGGUAGAUGGUGUAUCUGAUUUUUUUUUCUUUAAUUUUUCUUUUGGGCGGGUAUACAACUAUACAAGUAAUCAAAAAGUAACAAUAAUAAUAAUAAAAAAAGAAGAGAGAGAGAGAAAAAGCAAUGUUGGAUUACCAUGAAUAAUUUCCAAGUUUCUAGAAUAUAUCCACACGUUACGUACGGACCUAUAUAUGACUACAACAUGAAAACAACACGAGAGGAUCUAAAUUGAGAACUUGUUGCAAUAACUAUUCACAUAUUUCAUAUGGUACAAAAGUGUUGCUUUCAACAUUAGGUGUAAACAAAAAAUUAAUUAAGGAAAAGCUUAAUAUACAAAGAAAUCUACAAGAAAGAGCUCUCAACUUGUAGCAUUAAAAAAGAGAAAAAAAAAGGAAAAGACUAGACUACUCCCUAUACAUUGUCAAGUUCUCCCUACGUCGAUGUAUCAACCAAUCAAAUCUCUAUGACGAUUCGAUCGGCUGAGCCGAUGCGCUUGACCUACGCCUCCGAUACUCUUUGUUGUUCGACGACGGCUCGAUCACGUCGGCCGCGAAGCUGACCUUCUUCUUGGGUCGGAUUCGUUGAGUACCGUUCCCUAUAAUUAGCCGGGACAAAAAGGAUUAAUGCAAUUAUUAAGCAAGAAUAUAAUUACUGCAUUAAAAACUAUUAAUCAAAUUAUUAGGCAGGGGGAGGUGGUUGUGCUCCACAAGAAAAGUCUAAUCAUUAUUGGGCAUGUAGUCUCUUCACCUACCCAAUUACUAAAUUAAUAUAUAAAAAGUUAAAAAGAGGAACAAGUGAUUGACAAUUUGGAAAUUUAUUUCUCCGGGAAAAAAAAAAAAAAAAAACCGUACCACAUCCUUACAAACAGAAUUAUAAGCUGUGAACUGACCAAAUUCAAUACAUUUAUUUUCGAUAUAAUUAAAAAAAAAAAAAGCUAGCGUACCGAGUUCGGAUUCGAUCUUCUUGAGAAACUCCGAUGUGAGCCGCCGGUGGAUCUGGAAUGCGACGAGCGCGACGCUGCUCGAGACCGCGACGACCGCCAUUAAUCCCACACAACUGCUGCUCCCCAUCUCUUUUUCUCGUCUUUCUCUCUCUAGUCUCUCCCCCCCUAUAUCUCUUCUUCAAUCUCUCUCUCUCUCUCUCUCUCUCUCUAAAUCAUGAAUUCCAUAGAGGCCCAUGAGAAAGAGAGGAGGUGUUUAUAUACAUGCAUACAUACGUAUUGGUAAUUGAUGUAUACGUACAUAUUGGAGAUGUAUCUAAAUUGGGUUAGGAGUAGGAUUCUAAUACGAGAGAGAAUAGGAGAGGAGGGGAGGGGAAAAAGGAGAGAGAGAGAGAGAGAGAGAGAGAGAGAGAGAGAGAGAGAGAGAGAGAGGACGCGGCAGCGAAAAGCACAUGGAAAAGAGCGGAUGUUUAUAGAAGAAAACGGAGGGAUGUAUCCGUUUCAAUUUAAUUUUUGACUUUUUUGCGACAACCCAAAUUCGUUGUAUUUGACUAUUCGAGUGACAUGUGGGCCCCACAUAAGCGGGCCCCACGUGUCGGUUUCACAAGUUGUGUUAUUGUUUGACUCCGUUAAUAUCUAGAGUUUAUCCGGAUUUAAUCCCGCGAUGAUAAUAAUAAUAAUUAUUAUUAUUAUAAUAAUUGGUCUCAGAUAUUUAAAAAUAUAAGGAAAAAUUUCACAUAUCACCCACGUGGUUUCACAUUUUCUCAUUUUAAUAUCCUGUGGUUAAAAAUAUAUUAAUUUAGUGUCCUGUGGUUUUAUUUUUAUCUUUUUGUUAGAUGUUUCGUUAAUAUUUUGUUAAAUUAUAUACAAUACUUUCAGACACACUUAAUUAAUACAUUUUAAACCAUAGAGCACUAAAAUAAAAAGCGCGAAAUCACAUGGGUGGUACUUAAAAUUUAUCCAAAAUAUAAAGAUAAUAUUGCAUAAGCAGAUGUAGUUUAGAAAGAAAGGAGUAUUAACAAGGAAUAAAAAAAAUUAUGUAGAAUAGAGUUUUACAAGAGCAUUUUAACAACAAAUUUUUAAUCAAUUAAAUUGUUUUAAGUUCUUGAUCAAAAUACUUUAGUUAGCUUUUGAAGUAUAUAUUCAAGAUUAUUUGAAUUUGAUUUUAUUAGGAAUUUUAAUAUAAAUCUGAAAAAUACGUAGUUGGUAAAAAUUUCUGGGUUAAACUUUUUUUUUUUACUUCUAUUUUUAUUUUAAUAUAUAUGAGAGGCCAAAAAAGGAAAAAAAAAAGGAAAGAAUUUAUAAUAAAUGCAGAGAUUUAAAAUAUAAUUGUAUUUAGAGAACGAAUUUAAUUUUAUAUGGUUAUACCCCUGUGACUUCACGGUUUUUCUCGAUGUUUCGUUUUAAAAAAAAAUUAUUAUUAUAAACAAUAAUGGCGUAUAUAAUAUAUCGGUUGAGUAAAUGACAUGUGGGGCCCACUCUCGGGCAUUCAAGGCCACAAUCACUGUGACGAGAAAUUAAAUUAUUUAUUAUUAUAAAAUUUUUAUAGAAAAAAAUUAUAUUUAAAUGAGCUGGCAAAUAAAAAUUUUAUUCUUGUGAUUGUUGGAUAUUUUAAUAUAUUUUAGUUGGAUGCUGAAAUAUUUUUUUUUCAAAAAUUUAAAAUAAGUGAAUAGACGUGCAUAUGAGUCAUUAUAAAUUUGGAAAAACAAAUAGCUUAGACUUUAGAAUCAUGGUGUACUAAUCUUAAAAAAAAGGUCAAAAAGAAACGUAAAUUUUAUGCAUGGACCUUUUAAGCAUUAUAGAUUACGUGCAGCGUUAUAACUUUCAAAUUUAACGCAUUUAGAAUUGAACUUUACAAAUUGAGCACUGCGGAGUUUUAAUACUUUUUAUGCUUAGGCCACAUACAAUUCAUUACAUUUCAUGCAUUGAAGAAAAAAAGAAAAAAAAAAGAAAAAAAAAGUUAGUAAUCGUAUUCUAUGAAAGAACGAAACUAUUGUAUAAUCUAAAACACUUUAUUUAUUGAUAAAGAGAGUUUUUACAAUUCAAUAGUUUUUUUUAAUACAAAAUUAUAAAAACAUAAGCUGUUACAUGUUUCAUAUACANAGAGAGUAGGUAUGCAGUAUCUUUCCAUCUACAUAAAAAGAUUAGGCCAAUUUGCAUAAAUAAUUCAUAAGUUUUAAACUUUUAUAAAACUAGACCUUUUUUUAAAUUUUUCAUAUUCGAUCAGAAUUUUUAACAAACUUAUCAAAAUAUUCUUUUUUUUUUUCUCUUGUUUUUUUUUUUUUUUCUCUCUUCAGGCAGCGGAGGCGGAGGCGGCUGCACACUCUCGCCCUCGACCGCACCCGCACCCCAGGCUCUCCUCGCCUCCGACCGUGCCAAGGCCGUGCCGCUACCAUCAUUUUUUUCUCUCCAACCCUUCUCCACCGUCUCUGCAGUCCUCCGUAAUGGUAACGAAAACGGCAACCCGUUUUCUUCCUCCGCCUUCGCUCUUCACCUCUACUGCAGCAGAUUUUGCAUCCAUCAAACCCAUUUCUAAAAACCUGCGGUCGACACCACCGCCGCUGACGACAAAGAGGAAGCGCUUUUCGGCGCCGAGAAGCUCGUCGGCGAGAGAGGGAGCACGCGGCCCACCCGCCUACCCCAGAGGGCAACGGCGAGCGCGGCCUCGGCGAUGUCGGAGGCGUGGAUGGUGAGAAGUGCACAGGAGGCGCGGCCCACUCGCUUUUUCACUUUUCCCUUCUGUUAUUUAAAAAUCUACACUUUGCUCUUUUAAAAAAUAAAAAAUGUUCACUUCAGCCCCCACCCUCAGUUGUUCCGUUAGGGUUUCGCUUAUAUCUCAUUUUUGUACCCAAAAUAUUCCUGAAACCUUCGUCCAUAUCCACAUACAUGCCUUCAGCUGCUGCCUCAUUCUCGCCCACCCUUCUGUUCAUGCCCAGACACACGCCUUCGCCCUCCUUCACCGUCGGGACGAGCAAGAUUGGGGAGGGGGAGAUGAAGAAGAUGAGGACAAUUUGAUCAUUUUAUCACACUGUAUCCCUCGUGAAUAUAUUUUUUUUUCAAAAAUAACAAAGUGUAGGUUUUUGAAUAAUAUGAGGAAAGUGAAAAAACGUAUAUUGAUUGAAAAAUUUUAUAUAAUUUAGCCUAAUAUUUAUGUCAUAACAAAAUUUUAUAAAUUUUUAAUGUAAACAUAGAGAAGUAUUCAUAUAAGUAGAUAUUAUUAUUUUUCUGUGAAAUAACUGCGACGAAAAACGACUUUUUUUCAUACAGAUCGUUUUCUAGAUUAUAGCACCCAAUUCUAUUUGGAAAAACCAUUGCAUCUUCUAGAAAAAUAAGAAGCGUGAAAUGUGUGUUGUUUUGUUUAAGAAGGGGUGAUGUGUCAAUGGGCCCACCAAAAGCCGAAGUUGUGGGCUGUGGUUGGUCAAGUCAAUGGAUUUAAGCAUAUACUAAGACCAUUAACGUUGACCUUUAGUUUUUGCUUUAGAAAAAAAAAAAAAUUGAAUUAUUGGUCGGCAAAUUUAGAAGUUUGGUGGGCCAACUAAUAUUGUAAUUAAUAGACAAAAUGUUAGAUGAUCUGAUCAAAUCAAACUAGAGUAUCUGAUAUUUUUAGAUAUAGCGGAUACGAUUGCGCCACUCAUAUUUUGUUGAUCUGACUUGACUUGAUUUUGAUACGACUUUAAACAUUUUAAAAUCUUAGAAGACUCGAGUUUCUCCACAUCUCAACAUCUAAUAAAUUGAACUGGCCCAGAAUAAGAAAACAAUCAAAACACAUGAAAAAUUAACAGUUGGAAAGUAAUUGAGACAAAAAAUGCUCAUAAAUAAAAUUAACACAUGGAAACAAUUUGUAGAACCCAAAAGUUUUUGUUUUUUUUGAGAAAUAGGUAGCACGCUAUCCGUUUCGUUUAUUUUAUUUAGAAAUAAACUGUAUAACCCAAAAGUCGAAACAAUCUGCAUCUAAGGAUCCAAGACUUGAGUAAGAUGUGAACUCUGAACUUAUAUGCAUUCCGAAAUUGUGCAAAACAACUAAAAAAACAAGCUAAAUGGUUAAAAACUUUAAAUCAAAUUAUUGUUUUAUAUUGCAACUUACAUCUUCAGUCCAGUUCAUAAUAUUUUGGAUUGGACAUUGCCAUUAGAGUGUUGAGAAUAUAACAGUUCAAAAUCUUACUGAAACUAUUAAAUUAUAAUAAUUUAUUCUGAUUAAAUUGCAAAUCACAGUUUCCAAAUAAUACGUGGCACCUGUGCGCUCCACUAUUCACUAAUAUCAAUAUAUUUUACACGUGUCGUCCCCUUGCCUUGCCACGCUACACAGGUCCCACUAUUGUUGGGAGAUCUAAUCCCCCUACAGUAUACUGUAUACGGGAUGCGACCGCCACGUGAAACCUUAUCCGAGUCUACAAAAUGGUUCGUAAAAAUGUAUGGAGACCCCCUCAACUACAGUCAAUUCUAAACUAGGUCCUCACCUUCAAUUUUUGUUAUUUACGUCAUUUGAAAUUUCUCAAUUGAAUAAGUUAAACUUUUUUAAAUUUUACGAGUCAAUUAGAUAUUUUAUAGUUAAUUAAUCUAGUAAAUUAGAAAAUGUAUUAAUUUAAAAAAAUUACUUCAGGGGCGGCCUCAACAAGUUGUAUAGAUGAGGGGUCUCUUUACAAUUUUUAUCUAAACACUCCAACUCCCGUGCUCUUCUUCGCGCUGUUCCUCAUGUCCCCACGAGUUUUAACGUGCGAGAUGCGACUUCCGUUUACACGUGGCAAGCGGAGGUUGACACACGCCGCGUGCGGGUUCGAGUUCCCGCCUCCGCACGAAACCGGAAAGGGCGGAUGCGCUCACACGUGCCGAAGCAGAGCCGGUUCACGCAUCGGAUGAGAAGUUGAGAACACACCCCGGUGAGAAUACGCGAAUGAUGACCCCCUUCCAAAUAAUGAAAUAAACCAUUUACAUCUCGUGGAUUUUGUGCAGCUUGAAACAGAAAUUCCAGUUAAAUUUAUCUUAAAAAAUAUACAUAAUUUCUGAAUUAUAGAUUAUUUUAAAUUUAUUAUUUUAUUUUUUAAUGUUUUGAUGUUGCUAUCGAAUCAUAGUUGAUUCAUAUUUUCAGCUAAAUUUAUUUCUAAAUAAAAUAAACGAAGCGGAUAGCAUGCUACCUAUCUCUCUCUCAAAAAAAAAAAUAAAUGUGUUAUUUUUAUUUCAUUGACUAUAUAUCAAUUAAAGCAAGAAAUUAGUUUUAAUUUUUAAGUCAAAAUUAUGGCCGACUGACUCAAAAUAAGCAAAUAAAAAGAUUAAAUAGUAAAAUUAAACUUUUAAAUAAUUUUAUAAUAAUUUUAAAAUAAUUUAUAAUUCAGAUAAAUUUUAUAUAUUUUUAUUUUAAAUUUAAAAUCAGAUCAAAUCCUGAGAGGUAAGUAUGUAUACCGCGCAUGUUCGGAUCCAAACUCCACAAAUAAAUAAGCGGGAAUAGUGAUAGGUCCCCGCCCCCUUUCUCUCUCUGUUGCUUAAUUCAUAUCCAGUUCGAAGUUUGUGAGCGCUGUAAGUAAUAGAUAAGAUGGUGGUGCGGAUGGUGUACGGUUUGGCAUUCAUUUCUGUCUCCUGCGCCUUCUUGAAGCUCCUCCAUCUUUUCCUUAUCCCGAUAUUCUACUUCACUUCGUAAGGCGGAUAGAUAUGACUGUGGGAGGAGUCUUUCCCCUUUCACCCUUUUUUUUUUUUUUAUUUGGGGUCGGUUGAGAUUUUUGUUUUUUACUGGGUGUUUGCUUGGUUCAAUGUAAAAUUUUUUUGCGCAAAAAAAAAAAAUCGUUGUAUUUUGUAGUACUUGAAUUGUUGGAAAAAAAAAGUUUUUCAUUGAAAUUUGUUUUGUUGAAAAAAAAAAUCUACAUUUGUUUGAUUUCGUAGAAAAAAUAAAUAAAAAUAUUUUAUACAGCUUGAGUUUUUAUUUUUCUGCUAAAAAAUAAUAACAAAUGAGAACUUUAAUUAAUUUUUCUCUAAGUCCGUAAAAUCUUUUUUACAGAAAUAUGUUUUUAUGUCGAACCAAACAAGUGAAAAAUUAGUUUUUAUGCUGAUAAUAAAUUUUUAGUUCAUUUUACGUAGAAACCAAACACCCUCUUAUCGUUUCAUUCAGGCUGGAGCUGGAGUGGGUUGAGACAGAAGCGCGCUUUUGCAGCUCUGCUACAUUUUUGGCGGGUUCGGCCCAUGCCUUCUACUUUAUUUUCUUAACAGAGGGAAUCUAUUUUUCUUACUUUUGCCCUUCACUUCGCACGAGGUGCGGGGGCUUUAUCAACCCGGAUCCAUUUUCAUCCUUAGUUUGCAGCAGCAGUUGUGAAAAAUGAUGUGUAUUCAAUGGAAAAUAGUAUGAGAAACUUAGGAGGUGUUACUCUCUAUGGAGAUGAGAAUAGAGGGGAAAAUAUAAGAAAAGGAGAGUAUGUCUUGUUAUUUGCUUUUCUAUUUUUUUUUUUUUUCCAUCGUUGUAAUAAACCAUGAAUUGCAAAGCGGGGGAACGAUUUUAAAUUGAGUUUUCCAGUGUGAUUUGGGUUUUGGUUGAUUGGUUUGUGUUUUCGUCGGUAAAUUCUAAUGUUUCUAUUAUAUAAAAAUAAAGUUUUAAACUCUUUAUGCACAGAGGGUCCAUAGCUCAGUGGUAGAGCAAUUGACUGCAGAUCAAUAGGUCACCGGUUCGAACCCGGUUGGGCCCUUUUAUUAUUAUUUUAAAAUUUCAUUUUGACUAGUUCUUAUUUUUAAAUAAUUUUAUUAGUGAAUUAAAUUUGAAAAACUUAUCAAUUUUAAAUGGCGUAGAGUUUGAGCAAUAUUUGUACAUUUUUACAUAUUAUUCAUUUUCAUUUUUUUACCCUUCAAUACGAUACUUAUUAAAUAAAACGAUAUGAUAAAUACAGUCAUUUUUAUGAAAACAUCACCAAAGCUAUCAAUCUUGAUCUAAUCCAGUAAUUAUAAUCUAGAAUAGUUGUUGAUCACUUUGGAAGUAUUUUUUAGAAGUCCCAAGUUCAUACCAAGAUGAUAAAAUUUGGUAAAAUUUAAAAUUUUCUACUCUGUUUCACACAUGCACACACAAAUUUAUUCAUAAAGUUUAGUAAUAUUUCAUAUCAACUUUAGCUAUGUUGAAUAUAAUUAUUAAAAAAUAACCUUAUAUAGCGACUUAAACUUUUAAAAAUUAACAAUUAUUUCAAAUUUUAGAUAAUUUAAUAUAGUAUCAAUAUUAGAGAUUCUUAGUUCCUGUUCCAUCAGAUUUUAAAGUAUUUAAUUUAAGUUCAUGAAAAUACUAUCUUGGGGGCAAUCUCUUUUAUUUUUAACUUUUCAAUUUAUCUCUACUUGCACGAAGGGCCGAAAAAAUAGUUUUACCUCAAACUAAAUAACUUACGCUUAGUUUGGUAUUAAAGCCUAUCUGACGUUAUUAAAUAAAAUAGAGUUAGAAUAAAAGUAUAUUUGAAAUAUAUUUCUACAUUUAUUGAUAGGGUCACAAAAAAUACAUCAUAAUAAACUCAUCGUAAUAUACAAAACACAAUAUUAUAUAUAAAAAUAAAUAAAAUAUUUUAUUAUCGUAUUUUUUAACGGCAUGUAAUGUAGUCUCUCCGAAAUCCCAAUCUAAGCAUCAAAAAAGAAUUUUCGGAAUGAGACUUACGUUUCCGUAUAUUUACGUGGAUCCAAACUCCCCCUAAAAAAUCCAAAACUCAUCUCUCUUGCCGCCCAUUUUUCUCUCUUCUUCCCACUCAAACCCCUCUCUCUCUCUCUCUCUCUCUCUCUCUCGCUUUUGCUCUCGCCCCGACCCUUCCUUGUCGUCGCCCCUCUCCAUCCCUCUCGCUCGGCGUGGACUCGUCACGUCGUCUUCCUUCCCCAUUUCGAUCGGGAAUCAGAGCUCGAUCUUAAGUUCCUCUUCGAUCGGUGGUGGUAAGGAUUAGGGUUCUAGCGUUUACUAUUUGCCUUUUUUUUUUUUGAAAAAUUAAUUUAGAUGGAAAUAUUCGCAAGUAUAUUUCAUGCUGUGAUGCUAGAGAUUUUCUUUUCAGGAAUUUGCUAGUUUAUAGUUUCAUCUUAAGAUUCGUUCUUAGUUUUAGGGAGUAAAUCCAAGUUGUAUGCUUCCUUUACAGUAUUUAGGUAGCCGAAUCGAAACCCUAAUUAGUAGUUGAUUUGAUAUAGACGGCUGUAGAAGGUGAACGAUUUCACCACGCUGGUAAUCGGUGUGAACCCUGUUUUAUUCAGUGUAGAAACACUGCAAUGUGUUUUUUAGUGACCGGUGAAACUGCGACCUGUAUUCGUAGUUCAAUUUCCGCAUAUUGUGGACUGACAUACAAAAAUGAUUGUUAAGUACUGAUGCUAAAAUUGUAUGGAGCUGGUAUGGGACACCAUUUACCCUAUUUGUUUCAGAAACUUGAUAAAUUCCAUUGUUUCAUAAUGAGAAAUACUGAUCACAUAUUAUAAUGUAGGUUUGUUUACUUUGUUUGUACAAAUUUAUGAAGCAUCUUUACAAAUUUAUUAGCUUUACAAUCCAAUACUUUCUUAUAUAAUCUCAUGUUUUCUUGAUGAAUGGUGUUUGCCUCUUUGUAAAGCUCUAUGUUUUCUUGGUGUAUGAGAUUUCCCUGUAACGAAACUAUAUAUUGAAAGAUUAGCUAAUUGAAAUGCACCACGUAUGACUUAAAAAUAAAAGUAAGUUGUCUGCGAUGCAGAACCUUCUGAUUUAAUUCUCAAAUCUUGAUCCUGCUCGAUUUAGGGUUUGUUGGUGUUCUUUGAUUGCUAUAGUUUAUUACUGCUCAUAUUGUUGAUUUGAUACAACAAGAGAUUGAGGCUAUCAAUUGUGAAUUCUUAUUGCAUUGGGUGUUUACUAUAGGAGGAGAGUGUUACUUGUCAAAGGGGGAGAGAGAGAGAUGCUGUCAUAGGAGCUGGAUAUUAUGGCAAAAGCUGCUGUUCUUGAAUCUUCUGCAACUCAACAGUUUUUCUUUCGGGAAACUUAAAUCAGAUGUGAAAAUGAAGAGGAAGACCCCGUCGGAGCUAAGAGUAAAACUCUAUCGUCUUUGCUUUCAUUUACAUACUCCUAUUGGCAUAUGUGAUUCAUUAAUUUUCUAUAGUGCAACACAAUUUAUGUAGUCCUACCCACUUUGAGAUGAAAUAUUUUUCUCAUCUAGAUUUUUUAUGCUACUAAGGAACCAAUUCUUUGGUAUAGAGCAUUAUAAUUUUUGAAUUUAAAGGCUGGAAUUAUUUAGUCAUUGUAGAUGUUAAAAUUUAGGCAACUUUAUACUUGUGAUUUUACUGCGAUCCAUCUUAGCCAUUAAUAUCAUUACUUGUUAGAGUUUUUACUAAAGAAGAUUAUGUGAAAGUUUUAUUUAAAAUAUUAAGGACCUGCACACAAAAAUUUUGUUUUGACUUGCUGAUGUUUUGACUUGCUGAAUUUGCAUUCAGAUCAAUUUUUUGGAGUGCUGCUCCUAGCAUUAUAUAUUUCAGCUUAAGAGACUACAGUCAAAGUUAUAUUAUUGUACGAGAUUGAGUAUUUUAAUACUGACAGGCUAUACAAACAGUGUAAUAGUGGUAAAAUAGUGAACAAAUAAUGUGUGCUACCAUUUCUUUGUAACAUCUGGGAUGGCAUUAGUAAGACCAGUUGAUCUGGCUAUCUUUUGGGUUUUGAGUGUGAGUGAGAAGACUUUGGUUUAAGCUCACAGAAGUUGCAGGAGAGAAGCAACAAUCUGCUGAAAUUAGCAAUACAACAACUAUUUGCAUUGAUAGGAAAAGUUUGUCAAUGCAAUUUAUAUAUUGAACUCAGCUAAUGAAACAAGGUUAAUUAUUCUGUUCAUUUGCUAGCAUAAAAGGUGUAUGUCUUAAGCAUUUAUUUAUAGGUCGGGAUGGGAAGGCAAAGAGGUCUUUCACGGGUUUCAUUAAAGUUGAUUUUCAUAUAAAUUUUUCUAUUGUAGGGAGAGCAGUUGAAGCGAAGGACCCAUGAAUUGCUUGUUAAUGAGGAAUUGCCACCUCUACAGGACUAUGAUAGGUAGCAUUUGCUAAUGCUUAUAAUUCUUUUGUUUAUUUGGUUUCUGACUGCUGUUGUACUUGCAGGGCUGAUAAUAGGACUGCUGAUGGUCCCAAGAAAGCUGAGCACCUGAAGAUUCCAAAGUACAUUAAUACUCGUAUGGUCGAUGUAUAUCCUAUCAAAAAGUCAAGUGAGAGGUGCAGAGUACUAUUUGGAAAAGAAAACGUGAAGGUCCAAAAUGUUAUGACUCGGCAUAUUUGCUCUUCUUUAAUUCAACUUAAUUAUCGUAAACAUAUGUAAGACAUGCGGUGCUGAGGUCCAAAUAUUCUUUCUUCGAAGGCUCUUACUAAACUGCUUUGAUUUUACUCCUUUAAAGCAGGAUCAUUCAACUGCUUGUGCAAAACCUGGCGACCUUAGUAAUGCUACUAUUGCUUGUAGCUUUUCAACGAAGGCUACAUCAUUUCCAUGGUACUACACUAAUAGAUUCACAACCUCAAUAUGUAUGACUGCAGUUAAUAUUGUUUUUUGCUACUUUGCUAAUCUUUGUUUGUGUUCAAUCUAGCGGUGAUGGAGUCACUGCUGACAGUUUGGAACCUUCUGACCCAUCUGUUAGAAAUAUCGCUGGUGAUGGUUUUCAGAAGAUUGAUAAAUGUAGCCAGAAUCCUUUGCGCAGUGUUGUUGAGCUCCAUGUUGGAAACGAGAAGUUGGUUGAUUCUGCCAAACUUGAUAUGGUAGUGCUACUUUUAGCCAUACCACCUUAUUUGUCAUUUCAGUGGUUUAAGCUUACUUCAAUAAUUUUGAUAGGAAAAAGCACUUAAAGGAUUGGUAGCUCGUGAUGUUCCUUCCACUUCUUCACUGGCUGAUUCUUCUCGAAGACUUGUUGAUGUUCCUUCUAUCUCUUCAGAUGUCUAUCCCUCCGAAAUUCACAUACCAGGGGAUAAAGUUCCUUUGGAUUUUACCUUAAAAACUUCCUUAAGAUUAGUCUCAUCGUCUUCAGUGAAGUGGUGAGUACUAUUGAUUAUUUUUUAAAUCUCAAAUUUUGGUAGUCAUUAUUGCCCGGUUUGCUAGAAAAGUGAUAAGAUGGCUGAUUAAAUUUACAAGUACACAUGCUGGCAAUUUGAACAGACACUCUAUUGACCAUGUAGGAAAAAUUGGAUUAUAGUCAUUCCAAAUAGUUUAGCUAGAAUGUAACACCUAAACUUCUUUUCCUUCCAUUUCAUGUAAACGUACCUCUAAAGAUAAUAGAGAGAGAGUCUAAAUGACCUAUUUUUGUGGGGUAAUAACAUUUAAUUUUUGUCCUCCCUUUUUGCUAAUAUUACAAGAUGCAUGGCAAUUCUUCUAGUUCAAUAAUAGAAGUAGCACCGAUUUGUAGCUUCCAUGCUAACUUCUGACAAUGAAGUUUACUUUUUAGCUAGUUUUAUAUACUAAAAUAAAUCAGACUGAUGCGACCAUGUUAAAUUCUUUUACAUUAGGUUCCACAAGGUAAGGGCAAGCUUUUCUACAGCAGGGAUUAACAGGUUGACUUCUCAGUGUUGUAGCAAGAGCCAAAGUUUUGGCUGCACGUCUGGUACCAAUGUGCCGAGCGAGCAAUUUUCAAAGGCUUUAUAUUCAUGGGUUUACCCUCAAUCUUCUUUGCCUCCUUCCAUCAUAUCAGCUAUGGCUUCAUCAAGUAUAAAGGGAGGUAUUUAUGCUCACCCCCCUGUUAUUUGUUCAAAAUAUUAGCUUGGUGGAACUAGGUUGUAAAUAACUCUGUUUUUUUUUUCUUUUUGCUAAUUCACAGAAACAGACUUUUUGCAGAAAAGGCAGCAUGACUGGGAAGAUUCAUUUUGCAAUCUUUACUAUAUGCUAAGAAAGAACAAGUCUACUAUGUUUUAUGGUAAUCCCUCGCAUCUCUAUGAUGUACCUUUGCUAAAUUAUCUUGACAACAUCUUUAGACGUCUGAUGAGUGGAUCUGCUAUCUUUAACUCUUGAAUAUGUUCAAGUUCACUUCUACGCAUGUAUAUAUCUUGUUUUCCCAUUUUAGCAGACUGGAUGUUUGAUUUUGGUUCUAAAAUUUCACCUUGUGAAUGAUAUCAUGUGUACUCUGUUUUUACAGUUUUCUCAUGAUAACAUAUGUUUAAAUUCAUGUCUAUUGGCUUGUGAUGUUAUUAAUUUGAACAAAUUUUCUGCUUAAGUCAUAUUUUGAAUUUUCUCUGAGCAAGUGUACUAUUGACAAGCAAAGGAGUAUAUUGGCCAUCUUUUUUUGUCAGCCUUGAAAUUGCAACGAACUAAAACUUCAACACAUAUCCUCCCGAAGCUUACUAUUUUAAGUUUUCUGCUGCCACUGGGUGGCUGCUGUAAAAACACUGCCUGGGCCUCCCAUGGGGUCGUGUAGAAAGUAGAAAGUAGAAAAUUGUCUUAGCCGGCAGUACCUUAAUUAGUCGCAACUCUGACUUCUCUAACGUGCACCAAAUGCUGGGAGGCAGGACAUUACAUUACAUCGUGAGUUCAGCUCCUAGUUUGAGCAAACCAAAUAGGCCCUAACAAUAGUAGCAACCAUCGUUACUUCAUGUUGGGUACAGUAAUUCAUGCUAAGAGAUAUGGAGAUAUUUAGAACAAAGUGAAACUAAUGCAAAGGGUAGAAUUUUCAUUUUAGUGGAAAAGAGUUCUGCUUAGAUGUAAAUUAAUGUUAGGCAUUCGUAUUUUUGUUUGUGAAUUAUUGCACUUGUGGGUAUCUAUGUUCCAUUAUAGGCUCGUAAUAUCUUUGCAUUUUCAUACUGUGCAAUUAUGAGGGUCCCUCUUAAAGCAUGCCUGUUUCUAUAUUUUGUUAUCAAUUUAUAUAGAAUGUUACUGGUGACCGUCCUCGAGACAAAUGAUCUUAUUCAUAUCUGUCAAUUUAAAAUGAUAUAUGAAUUAUUGCAUUCAAGCUAUUAACAUCAUUGUGAUUGUUAGAUUUUAUGGAAAAAAAUAAGCAAGAUGGUUUAAUGUUGCAAAUUUUAGUGUUUUGUUUAUUUUAUCUAGUAUUAGUAUUAAAGUUCUUGUUGUUGGUAGUUAAUUUGUAUACUCAAGGUUACCUGAUAAUUUGCAGUUUAUACAUCACAAUUUGUGGUUCUUUUCAUUGGUGGGGUCUUUUUGGGUAAGAAACAAUCAUGUAAUGCUUACUUGUCACAAUCAACUCGUGGUUUGCGGUCCUUGCUCAAAAAACAUGUAAGUUGUUUCACUAGUUUUUCUUUUUUGCAAACUUCUACACUUUUCCUUAGAUUUGCAAUUUAAAUGCAGAACAAAGAAAUAUGGAGGUUGAUGUGGGACAUAUUGUCGCAUCCAGCUUAAUUACUUUAAUCCUGUAUCUGCUAGUGAUAUUAACAAACAUAUAGUCGUGAUCCGCACCUUCCAAUCGAACCCAAUGUGACAUAGUCACACCAUAGGCAACCAAGAGAAAUGCCUUAACCAAACUUGAUUAGUAUAUUGGAAUCAAUCGUAGAUUGCUAGUUUUGAAGCCUUGAUGGGGAUAGAAAGUUAAACAAUUAGGAUACUGCUGAUAGGGGAUGCUGUUCAAAGGUAGCGAAAAAGAGAUCACUGCUAAUGAAUGCUAACGACAAUGAUAGACGUAGAAUAUGAUGAUUUGAACUAUUGAAGAAGUAAAAUAAUUGAGCAUUUGUUGGUGAAUUGAUCGCGUAUAAUAUGAACAAGGGUAACAAAUGGAUGGAUUGGCUGAGCGGUAUUUGUAAUGGAGAUUUGACCCUUAUGGCAAAUUCGUGAAAAUUUGAAGGCUUCUCAAUAUUGUUUGUACAACAGGACUAAUCUCCCCUUUAUUUAUGAUUACCUUCAGGAAGAGGUAAAAAUAAUUAAACCAGAGUAGAAUUAUGGUAAAUCAUCAACAUAUCAAAUGUUGUCCCUACAAUUAUAGAUGGUGAUAGCAUUCUUCUCUUCUUUUGCUGUGGGCUUAUCAACCAGUCUACGGAGGGCAAUAUAAAGGAAAAGUUACCUUCUAAACAACUGGGCAGAAGGUGAUGGGCCUACUUUCCUGUAAGAUUUGAGCUAGACUCUAAUUAACCAAAUCCAAUAGGCCUAUUUAUCUUGCAAUUUAGAUGGCUACAAUAGCUAGAGGAGGCAGAGUUCUGUCAGAACUUAAGUGGUGUUCAUUCAUUAGCCUAUGUGAGGAUUCUAAUAGUAAUAAAUAUAUGAUAAUUUUUAGCUGGCUUUUCAAGAUAACUUAUCUGAUUAUUUUACCUUUGCAAUCCUACUGGUAGGAUAUUUGUUUCUCAAUGCCUCUUUGUCGUGCUGAAGUUGAGCAAGCUAGCGAAGAUGACUUGGUUGAAUUAUCUGAAAUUGAGAAGCGUAACCUAGGCCAGGUUUGAAUAAUACUCAAACCUUUCUCUGUUAACAUUACCAGACUUCUACUAUCUAGGAUUUUGAUGAUCUGGAACCUACAAAUGCAGGCGUUCCUAUCAGACUCUUUCUCUGAUAUAGACAAUACGCCUCAAUCUCUCCUGUCAUUUAUUGGAAAUGAGAGUGUCCAUGGUUUAUACGACUUUUUAUUAAACUAUAGGUAAGUGAGCUUGUUAAAUGUUCAUUUAGGAUAUUGAUAUCUGGUACACGAUCUAAUUUCUUUUUGUUUCCUUUUGCAGGUUCUUUCUUAGCUCCUUUAGUGGUGUGGAUGUUCCUGUACUCUACUCCCCUGUACCAUUCCAAAAUGCUUGUUUUUUUAUUCCAGAGGUUUGUUUCUUAGGUUUUUACUUCUUUCGGCCCGUACUUUGUUGUCUGAACUAGGAUUUGAUCCUAGUCUCCAUUUUUUUUUUUUAUUAUUUCUGUUGAAUCGCCUUGUAUCAACAUUGUUCUGCUAAUGAACUAUGUCUUGUAAUAGUUUUAUUGUUAGAUUGAGAGAAUUUCAUCACCUGUGUUUUCCUGUAGGUGAGAUGCAAGGAGAUGAGGAAAGCCAACAUGGUUGUUCCCUCUUCAAGGGGGUCUGAAUCAGAAGAACAAACCGAAGCUAUUCUUGGUUCUUCUGGCAAUGGUAUUUGCUAUAGUAUCGAGAUAAAGGAUACUAUUCUUCCCCCAUGGAUUGUUAGCGGAGUCUGUGCUACAAUGAGCUCGGAUGGAAGGAGUUUUGACUCUGUGUAUGCGACAUAACAAUUCUUCCCUUUACUAAAUUCUACAUCUGCAUAUUGUAGUUUUGGAAAAGUUUUGAAAAGCCCCCUCUGGUUUGCAAUUUAUUAUCCCUCGGUGCAAAGUGUGGCCAUUUGCUCCACUGAUUGUUGCUUAAUCUUCUAUUGCAACUCCUUAAAAGUGAACACAUGGCAAUCGCUAGUUUCUGUAAAAUGCUGAAAGUAUAGGAAUCUCCAUGUUUAGCCAUUGUCCUUUUCACCACCCCGGGGUUUAACAGCAUAGUGCAUUGCUGCCCUUUUUGAUUGCAUUGUUCUUUUUGGAAAACUGAAGCAAGAAUCACAGGAGAACAAGGUGCUACACUUUGAAUCACAGGGUGAUUAAUUAGAAAUGUGCUCGGGAGUCUUUUUUGCUUGAAGUUUUCCCUUUUAUUUAUCUUUUGAAUAACUUGGGGCUUUUGCAGCUUUUCGACAGAGCCUUCAUCAGUUGGCUUAAAUGUUGCCAUGGACUCUUUCUGCAAGAAAUCUGAAUCAGAUAAGCAUCUUUCAGAGAGCUGUGAUGCCUUCGGCAUUUCUGAAACAACACUGGUGCCGUCAUUGCGCUCUGUAUCAGUACGACGCCUCAAGUAUGCCGAUGGUGCUUACGUAGCUUUCACAACUGUGUAAGUUCUUGUGACCUUUACAGGUGUAGCUCAGAAGGAAAAAAGUGGAUAUAGCGGAGCUUUGUGGCGGCAUAUGGGUUUCCACAUCAACUGUACGCUCUUUGGAUCGAUUUAUCUUGUUGGUAAUUCAAAACUUAAAUGAAAGACAUCCAUAUUACGACUGAGAUGUCCUGUUAUGACUGUCAUUAUAAGAAAUUUUGGUCAUCGUUUUUUUGGCGUCUUGGCGGGGGCUUAUGGGGGUAGGGCAUGGGAAAACAACGUUAGAGCUAAUAUGCUCCUUUGUUUUUUUGGUUUGUUUUUGGCUCGAGUAGCUGUUUAGGUCCUAUAUGCUUGCUUUGUUGUGUCCCAGUUGAAUUUUUUUUAUAAAUAAUCCUAUUGAUUUUUAUAAUUAUAAAAAUAUUUUUUUUUAAAAAUAAUUAUAAAAAUAGAUCUUUAAAUGCAGUGAAUUAUUCACAAUAUAGAAAGAAGUGAGAAAAAAAAAAGGAAGCGGUGAAUGGUUCAUCGCUUUUAAAAACGGUGAAUAAUUCACUAUUUUUUUAGGACUAUAUUUAUAAAUAAAAAUUUAACAGGUUUAUUAGGUUUAUUUUUAGAAUAAAAUUUUAUGAGAAGGCUAUUGUACUAAAAAAUCUGUCCUAGUUUAUAUAUUUGUUAUUAUUAUUUUUAUUUAUUUUAAUAUUUAUAUUUAGCCUUGUAUGCUUCAUGGCGCCUUACAGUUUUAUGCACAUUAUUAUUAUUAUUAUUAUUUUUAUUGUGAAGAUUUAUAUCUUCAACUGAACGAAUGCUUCGAAGGGCUUUGAGAGUGUUUAAACUAUAUUGAUAAAGCCUCAUCAGCUAAAAUGGCUCUAUCAUUUGCCAAAGAUCACACGUCAAGUACAGAAAAAAUUCAUUUUUACAAAAUUUAGAAGCGCAUUAAAAUUUUGCGUGCGUCCAUGAGUUCUGUUAGACACCAUUUUAUAAUUUGACACGAAAAAUAGGUAAAUUUUUCUCUUGUUUACUCUUUCGAAGUCUUGGAAAAGAGAGAGAGAGAGAGAGAGAGAGAGAGAGAAGAGAUCACAAACAAAAUACAAUUGGAGUGCAGGAGUAAUUUAUAUUACACAGUCAAAUUUUCAUGACUCGUUUCCUAAUACCUAAAAUUCAAAGGAAUCAAAUAACAACAAAUGUUUAUCUAUACAAAAGCUAUGACCCUCUCAUAGACCAUGAGAAAGCUCUCCAAGCAUGAUCAACAAAUACCAUCGGAAACAUAAUCCCCUAAAAAACAAAAGUGGAAAAAGAAAAAGAGAAAAAGAAAACAAUGCAAACCACAAAAUGAAUGCAUCUCCCAAUACAACGACACACUCUGAACGGAUAUCCUUUUUUGAUUUAUAUUAAUGGUAUUAUCUGCUUCAGAAGAUAGAGAAACAGCGAGUUAACACAGUCAUCCUCGUGCUCGUGUGAGGAACUUCCGCUGGCUCCCCUGAUUGGACUUGUCUAAAAGCAGCAGUAACCCGACAUUGCUAUUCGACAAGCCACAAGGGUAUCUACAUCGAGGUGCUUUCUUCCUCCACAAUGUAAAAGAAAAGACCCACUGCAAAAAAAAAGGGGGAAAAAUAAGGGAAACAAGAAGCACUUCUGAAGUACAAUGAAUUAUCCAUAUAGAAUAUUAUGAAAGUUUGAUAACUAGCUUGAAUACGAGGCUGUCAUCGACACUGAGAUAGACUAGCAAGUCAAAGAAACCAACCUCAUGUAACCGCUCAAAGAGCCUUCAAAGAACUAUCUUCAAAUUUUAGUAAUUAAAUUCACUGAACACGGUAAAAGAACUGAUUCAAGAGUACAAAAUCUUGUAGGCUAGCAUUAACCAUCAGACCAAGAGAUUGCUAUUAUAUCAGAUCUGAUUAGUUUAGUUAGCAUAUUGAAUAAUCAAACAGUUGGGCAGUGAAGAAACAGAGUACACAAAAAGAGAAUCUAUUAUCACAUGGCCUGGCCAACUUACUCCAUGAAAAGAAUCCCAAUGGUCCUAUUGUUUGAGAAAACAAAUGAAAAAGUGGACACCUUGUAACCACGAAUUAACACCAAUGGAAACAUGGUAUUGAAGCGUUCAAAGUACAAAAGAACAGAUAAGAAGCUAAGAGCCCAAGGACUUAUCCAUGUGUAGAGAUAAAAGCAACUUGCUGAUGCAUGCUCUUCUCUAUACAAUUUGAACGCAAUACAACAGAUGAAAGAAAGAGUAUUCCCUAAUUUCCAUCUAUUCAGAAACAAUGGUAAGCUAAUCCACAUGGAAUUUUGACCUAAGACAGAAAUAUAAAGAUGUGACAAUUAAAAAUAAAUUGACCAUACAAUCAAACAAAAUAUCUCUCUGUCACAAAAAUGUAGAGGAUUCUAAAAAUUGAUAACUCCUCAAGGCUGAAAUAAAAUAUAAACCCUCCAAAAAAAGUAAACAAAAAGAUAACACACCACAAUCAGAAGGUGCAUAGGCAUGAGAAAGCGUUUGAAGAGUACAGUUUGGUUUCAACUGCACUAAAACUGUGGAGUGGUUUUCUCCUAAACUUCAAUUUUCUUUCUAAUUGCCUUUCUUCAAAUCUACUCUAGCUGCCACAAAUUAACAAGUUGGAUUAUCAGAAUAAUUUCCUUCACCAAGCCAAAUUAACAUCAUUCAAUGAAUUUCUCACUAGUAAAGAAAACUUAAAGUUUCAUCAGACAUUGGCAACACAAGUACAGUAAUUUGACUUACUGAUCAAUGGUAGCAACACGUAUCUAAAAUCUAUGAGAGUUUGAAAGAAGGUUCAGCUUUGGAUAUUCGAGUUUGAGCUUGUCUGUGGCUGGAAUAUUGAAACCAUCAAAGUGAAAACUCAUUUACCAGAAAUUAGUGAAUUCAAUUAGACUCAAAAACUCUCUCUGAGCAAUGUAUGAUCCUAAAAACAAUGAGAUUCCGACAGCCUUUAGUAUUUGGACAUCAUAUAAUUCAAACUAACAAUGUCAAUCAGAGACAUCAUAUAAUUCAAACUAACAAUGUCAAUCAGAGAAAAGGACAUGACAAUCGUCAAAGUUAUGUAGAACAAUGCUUAACUUAUUAUAAGAACAAAUAUGCUCAAGAAAUGUAAUCCUUCUAUUGACAACACUGCAAGAAAAUUAGUUGGCAGAGAGUAGUGAAAAUAUGAAGACACCAAUCACUAUUCGAAAAUCAAAGGUAACAAAAAGUGCACGCCAGCCAUUUAAUCUAUGAACACAGCUAUAUAUUUAGUGGAAGAGAGCAAGAAUAAAGAUUAUAAAUCAGUUAUUAAAAGAGAAAUACGCAACCAUAUAAACAGAACAUAUACAUUGCAAAGCCUUAGAAUAAGGUUGGAAGUAUUUCGUUCGAUAUCUACUGAGUGCUACUUAACUGCAUAGUAUUUCUCCGUAGCAAAAUGCCAUUAGAUAUUGACCUUUAAACACGAAUUUGUUACCAUUAACUCUCGAAACGAAACAAGACCUUCCUUGUGCAUUCCCAGCCAAUUCAAACUUAUAUACUCAAACAACAAAUUAAAGAGAUGCAAUUACCCAAUAAAUUACCUUAAAUACUGCUAUGAUCGGGAAGCUCUCGAUGAAAGAUUUCUUCUUCACAAUCCUCCUCUCCGGGGACGGUAUCACCUCCUUCGAAAGCUGCUGAGCGAUCUCCUUAAGCAACACUAGCUGGGCCUUCUCCGUCCUCAUCGAGAUGAUGGCCUGUCUCAUUGACUCCCUAUCAGCCUCUAAUACCUCCAACCUCAUAUAAAGCUUCUUUAUAUCAGUCUCCCCUUCUUUCUCCCAUCCCUUCCCCUUCGCCGUUGGUGAUCCUGAGUACUCUUCCGAAACCCCGGCGGUCGGAUUACUAUGCACGGUAUCAAUCGUGUACACCCGAUCGCUCACAUCAUCAUCAUCAUCAUCAUCGCCUGGCUCAUCCGACGGCCGGUCCACCAUCACGGGGAACUCCUCCACCUUUCUGAAGUCCUGCCUAGUAUCGCCGUCGAGCGACUGCUCGACGACGCCCUUCUCCUCCAUCACAAUGCUGCUGUGCGGCGAUUCUUUCUCCAGCUGGAGGAUCCGCUGCUCCAAAUCCCGUAAAGAUUCCGGCUCCGGUUUCUCGAGAUUGGCCGCGUCGAGGCGGUCGCCCUCAUCAUCAUCCUUGCGAUCCCGAUCGCCGACGCUGCCGCCGGGGAUGGUGCACCUGAGCGGAGGGUAGUCAUAGAACGGAGAGUUAAGGUCUUCGAACAGGUGGUUCGCGGUAGCGGCAUCGGCGUCGGGGGUUAAGAGGACGUCGCCGUAUUCGGCGUCGAGAUCGGGCGGAGCGAUCGCGAUGCCCUCUCGGAGGAGGCGGUAGCGAUAGGCUUCGAUUUGGGAGGAGAGGGAUUGGAUGGCGUGAUCACGCUUGAAGAGGAGGUCCUCCAGGGUGGCGAUCUCCUGCUGGUCGUGGGCCAUCUUCUCCUCCGCGAAGCGCUUGAACUGCCGCCCCUCCAUCUGCGCCUCCGCCUUCUCCCGCUGCAGCCGCAGGAUCAUCGACAUCGCCUCGCUCGCCGCCGACGCCGACGCGCUCCGCUCCUCCUCCAGCUCCGCGCACAGCCGCUGGAUCGUCUCCUGCUGCCCCGCCACCGCCUCCCGGAGCGCCGCCACCUCGUUCUCCACCUCCACCCGCACCACCUCCCCCGCCGCCGCGUCCGGCUCGGCCUUGCGCUUCACGGAUCGGCGCCAUUCGGAGGGGCCGGAGCAGCAGUAGGGGCAGGCGCAGGGGCACGGGGCCGCCCUCGGGGCCACGGCCUCCAUGGAUCGUCUCCGUGUCGACGUUACCCUCCAAACUCGGAUCUCGGGAGCUUCCUCCCCUUCACCAUCGAUCGGACUCGCCGAGAGGGGAGGAUGAACAAGACGAAGGGAUUUGGGGUUCGGAUUGGGAGGGAAAUUCGGGGGAUGGGGCGGGGGAAUAAAAAAAUCUAGGGUUUCGAAACCCUAGAUUUCUCUCUCUUUUCCUUUUUUCUUUUUUUUUUUUUUUUUAACCCUGGUCCCUCUCUUCGUUCGAAAAAAGUUCGCUAUCCAAUGAACAGUGAGAAAUGGACAAAGAGAAAAAGAGCGAAAGAGAGGAAUAAAAUAGCGAUUAGCGAACAGCGAAGAGGUGGGAGGGUGGUCAGUGGUCGCGUCGCGGGGUUGGGUUCGUCAAAAGCACGACCGAGCCACGUGCUCAUGAUUACUUUUUUUAUUAUUAUUAUUAUUAUUUUUUAUCAUUUAUUUUUUAUAACUUAUUUUGCCAUGAUGGUGCAGAUAUUUUCUUAAUUUUAUUUUGCUUUGAUUUAUCUGGAAAUACCUAAUAAAAUUUUCCAGAUCUAAUAAAUUUAGGAUUUGAAUCAGAAACUUCGGACAUACGAGAGAAUUAGCGACUUUCUCUUAAUUUUUCACUCAUCGCUUUGAGAAAGUUUUUCUAAUUUUAUGAUCUUAAGUUGAAGCUAAAAUAAGAGUUGAACUUGGUCAUUUUUUCGCUUUGUUUUAAUAAAAAAUUUUAAAUUUAUGUUUAACGUGUAAAUUUAUUAGAGAUUUGAAAUAAAAAAAGUUAUUUAAAAGGCCAACCAAAUCCAAAGAGCAUUUGAGGGAGACAAAAGUUUUCAAAAACCAAAAAUAACAAAGCCUAGGUAGGAAUAAGAUGCUAAUUUAACUCCAAAAUGGGAAAAAAAUAUUAUUAUUAAGUUAAUUAACAAAAGAGUUACUCAAAAAAAGAGGAGAAAGAGUCAAGGUAAUAAGAUUAAGGGGCAAUUUCAGCAAUAGCCCUCUUAAACAUGUAAAUAUCGUAAAUACCCCUAUAAAAUUAAAAAUAUCAUAUAUGCCCCUUCAAAUGUAGAAAAUUAUCACAGUUAUCCUUUCUUCUAACUGACGUUAGGGUAAAAUUGUAAAAUGACUAAUUUACCCCUUAAAAAGUUGGUUGGGUUGUUCUUUUGAUAAGAGAUAAUAAAAGAGUAAUUUCAUGAAUACCCUUAAACUUUUAAAAAUAAUAUUUUUAACACUAAUUAUUGGUGAAUAAAAUAUGUGGAAACCCCUCACCUAUAGAUCAUUUUGAAAUGAACCCCCUUAACUUCAAUUUUAUAACAUUAAGUGCCCUUGAACUUUUAGAGUUUUUUUGUUUUUGUGUUUUACUUAGUUAAAAGUUUUUCAAUUGAGAUCCCUCAUACAUGAAUUUGAUAAAAUUUUUAACUUAGUUGGAAAAAAAAAAAAAAACUCAAUUGCAAAAGUAAAGAAUUGCAUUACAACUAUUAUAUAAUUUAAAAGCGAAAAAUCAUAACAGAAUUGAAUUAUUAUAUUUUAUAAACUGUAGAUCUUUAAUUGUAAAAUUUUAAAGAGAAUGUUGAAUUAUUAUGUGAUUGAAAGGUUAAGAAUUAAUUAUAUAAUUAAUCUUAAAUUAUUACACUUAGUUAAAUUAGUAAUAAGGGUAAAAUUGGUAUUUAUAGAAUUUUAGAUGACUUUUUAACGGAAUGUUAGUCUUAAGGGUAUCUAUGAAUAUUUUUGCUUUUUAGAGGGAUAUUGUUGAUAUUUUCUAAUUUAGAGGGGCAUUUAUGAAAUUACUGUUUCCUAGAGGGGUAUUGAUGAAAUUAUCCCUAAGAUCAACAUGUGGGGCCCACAGUGUCAUUCUCUUAAUAUGUAAGUCAUUUUGGUCUAGUUCACACUUUUCACCUAAUCCUACUUUCGUAAUUUACUUAAUUUAGGCUAAUCCCCCACAUUUGGAUUUAUCUUUACUUUUUUUAAGAUUAAAAGAGAAAGUACAAAAAAAAAAAAGGAAAAAAAAAGAAACACAUUGAUUGGGCCACCGUAUGAAAAGCUGAAAGGCAGCUUCUUCGUUGGCCCCCACGCCUUCUAGAAAGAAAAAAAAAAAGAAGAGCAGGUUAACAAGUUAAAAAUUAAAAAAUUGAAAUAUAGUCAUUUGUUAUGGGAUUUAAAAAAAAUUACAUUACUAUUAUUAUUAUUUAUUAGUUAUUAUUUAAAAAAUUAAAUUAUAUUUCUUUAGUAUUUUAUUUACCUGUAUACCUGUAAUUGUUUGUACAAUUGUGAUAUACAAGUAUAUAUCUGUAGCAUUAAAUAUUUUUUUAUCCUAUAAGGUACUUAUUAUUUUGCUGUUCUUAUUUAAUUACUCUAUAGAGUACACAUUCUAGUAAAUUCUCAUGUUUUUAGGAAGAUUUUUUUUUUUUCUUUUAAUACUCCUCGACUGUUCUAUUUGUCAGUUUUUUAUAAUUAAUGUUGUUUCUAUACAUUACGAAUGUCUGAUGAAUUUACAAAAAAUACUAAUUUUACAUAAGUAGUUAUACCACCACAUCAACUAAUAUAGUAGAUAAUUAUAUAUAUAUAUAUAAUAAAUUAAUCUAUCAUCUAUUUAUAUUCGUGUUACCCUAAUAUUACUUUACUCAUUCUGUAUGAUCAGGAAAGAUAUUUUUUUAUAAUUGAAAUUAUGAAUAAGAAUUACAUUUUUAAUAUUUUUUAAGUUGAUAUUUUGUGUCAGAUUUGUUCUGUAUCAUUACAGCUCACCUUACAAAGUUACUGUAUCUCUUUUGGAAUCAAAAGGGACCACCUACUCAUGAAUUACGUACUAAAGGACAAGCACGAAGCACAAUAAAGUUUGAGCAAUUACAAUAAGAGCUUAUUCUGUUCACUUAUUUUAAAUUUUUAAAAUCAAAAUUAGGGUUACUAAUUCCAAUAGUUAUUAUUUAUUUUGUAAAAAUCAGAUUUUGAAAUGAAGAAUGAUCUAAUUUGCUUAUGUUCUAAUUCAACUUUGAAACUUGAAUUGCUUGCUGUUUUUUAGACAGAGCACAUAACUUAAAAUCCUCUUGCACAAACAUCUACCUCUCGAACAAAAUUUUUUUUUCAAAACUUUAUAUGUCUCGACUCACAACUAUCCAUUUUGAUUUUUCUUUCUAUAAUGAACUAAAUAAUUUUUGGAUGCUUUACCAUUUUUUUUCUCAUUGUUUUAAUUUAAUUUUUUAUUUCUAUUCUAAUUGUAAAUCAAACAUAUUCUAAAAGAGUUUGAAUACCACCCUUCAACUACUGCCUAUUUUGAAAUGUUUAGAGCGUCUUAACAAGUUCAUCUAUGUGCUCUGUCGCUAUUGCUCUUUUUAUUGUUGCUAAUUGUUUGAAUGAUUUUAUGAAGGUGAGUGAUAAUCAUCACUGAUUAGCUUGAGCCACAUAUAAUUACGUACUAAACAACGCUUUGUCAACCAAAAAAAAAGAAAAAGAAAAAGAAAAAGAAAAAUAUUACUAAGUCCAUCAAUUUAUUCGGCUGCUAUUCCAUUACACUAGAAAACGAGGAUGGCUAAAAGCGAUUCGUUGACCCGGUUCACACCGAUUCUUCGUUGCUGAGAUCGUCCACGAACCGCUUAAUGACCCGGACCAGCUCCCCGGCCGGUUCGGACCACGGCAUUCUCGAGAAGAAGGCGUGCUCUUGCCCCUCGAACUCCACGAGCUCCACGCGCUUCCCCAGCCCCCUCAUCUUCGUAGCGUACUCCACGUCCCGGUCCCUCAGGAUAUCCCGCUCGGCCGCCACCACGAGAACCGGGCCGGUCUCGACCGGGCCCAGGCCCGGGCUCUCCGGCCCGAACGGGUUGAAAAGUGGGUGGUCCCUCGUCGCGCCGCGCGGCAGCGCGAGCCUGGCGUACCGGUCGAAUAGCUCCAGGUUGAGGAACGCGUCGGCCGGGCACUCCAGUUCCGACCGGGUCCGGUCGGGCCCGCUGAAGCCGGGCAUUAUGAGAACGAACCCGCGGAUCCGGACCGGGUUCAGCCCGGCCGGCCCGAACCGGACGGCCAUGUGGUGGGCGAUGUUUCCCCCGGCGGACUCGCCGGAGACGAACACGCGGCUGAAGUCGGCGGAUUCGGCGAGCCAGGGGUCGGCUCCGGCGCCGGCUUCGGCUUCGGCUUGGGAUUUGAGCCAUAGGAGCGCGGUAGCGCCGUCGUCGAUGGCGGCGGGGAGGCGGUGCUCGGGGGCGAGGCGGUAGUCGGCGGAGACGACGAGUACGCCGAGCUCGGCGGCGAGGCGGAGGCAGCCGGCGUGGAAGUUGGGCCACGUCCGAGAGCCGAUGCAGAAGCCGCCGCCGUGGAAGUAGACGAGCACGGGAAGCUUUUCGUUAUCAUAAUCAGAUAGUUCAUGACUAGGUCGGGGACGGUAGAGGCGGAGGAAGAGGCUGUGGGUCGGGUCGAAGAGCACGUCCUUCCACUCGACGGAGCCGUCGUCGCGGUCAGAAUCUACAGGAAAGAUGGGGUCCGGAGAGCGCCGGAUGGUGCCGUCGCUCAGGAGCUGCACGACGCCGCGGCAGUCCUCGACAACGUGCGGAGGAGGAGAAGAGGAGGACGACGACAUGGCGGCGCGGUGGAGGAGAUGCUGGUGUGGAGCUGGAUGUGUUUUGGUUUUUGAGGAUACACAGAGUCUCUCGUUUAGGGUUUACUAAUCGUUUUUUUAUAUUGCAUGCUACUUGCGCCAGGGACAGCUGGUACAUUAUGGGCAUUUGAAUAAUCAUGUGGAAAGAUUAUUACAUA
rnacentral:lncRNA from 1 species